rnacentral:lncRNA from 1 species
CGUGCAUGUAUUUAUGCAUUCUAUAUAUUCUACAUUUCUUGAGGAGUUUCAGUAGUUUGAGUUUGAAGAAGAAAAGAUGUCUAUAGUUGUGAGAAUUCUGUCGUUGGGAUGGGCUAUCAUGAUGAUUACGAGUAUUACAAAUGUUGCAGAUGGAGCAAUUCCUAAUGAUUUGCAGGAAAAGAUUUCUAUCAUAAACAAUGAUGGUCCUUACUUGGGUAUUGUAGUGCCCAACAGUUUUGAGAUGAACCCUCUUCUCCAAUCUUCAAGUUUUGUUCCUCAUUCCACGCUUUCCUACUUGGAUUUUGCAGGUUAGACAACUAUUCACUUGAAAUUUAAUUUAUUGCUUACUUUGAUUUUGUGUAAGAUGAACUAUUCGGUACCAAACGGUAAAAUAUAAAAAAUAAAAUAAAAUAAAGUGGUAUAAUCUUGUCUAGUGCUCCACACUUUUGUCUAAUGUUAUAAUGGUGAAAAAUAAUUUAUUUAUUCAAACGUUAAUAUUAAUUAACUAUUGAAAACAAAGUUUAGAUACUGUUGUUGUCAAUCUUCUCGUAAUAUGUUUGGUUCUACCAAAUCUUCAAGGAGACAGCAAGAAAUAGCAUAAUAUCCAGUUAUAAUAUUCCAAAAUCUUAUGCUUAUUUUCUUCAUCUUCUGCAUUGAAACAGGAAGAAGAUUUCGAUUUGGAACUUUGGAAAGUCGAAAAGUUAUCAUUGUCAUGUCCGGACUCAGCAUGGUAUGUUCAUUUUUGUAAUACCCUACUUACAAGGAAAAUUCAAUGAUUUAUUUCUUCCCAUUUUUCAGAGGUACAACAUAAUUAAUUUAAAUUAUUAUUUCAUAGCUUAAUGCAGGAUUAGUAACACAGUUGCUGCUUAGUAUAUUCGAGAUUGAAGGAGUAGUUCACUUUGGAAUAGCAGGAAAUGCAAAUCCUAACUUACAAAUAGGAGAUGUUACUAUCCCUCAUUAUUGGGCUCAUUCAGGCGUUAUCUCACUACGUAAAACCCAUCGAUUUAGAUGCUCCGAAAACUAUCAAAAUAAGCUGAGAAAAGCACUAGAUCAUUUUCACGUGUAGUGUAUACUCACAUAUAUUCCCAUUAAAUGACUUUGUUUAAAUCCUUGCGCAAUUUUUUUGAUCAGAGGUUUGGAGAUGGGCCUGAUGAUGAACUUGCAUUUGAAUCUAAUGGAGACUAUACAAGAAAAAUCGGUUAUCUUAAUUUCUCUCAAUAUGAAAAUGGCACAAAAAAUGGGAAUUAUUCAGGCAACCUUCUCAACAAUGUGUGGUAUCAAGCGGAAGAGAUAUUUUCCAUUGAUGGACAACCUGAGAUUAGACAGCAUGCCUUUUGGGUUCCUGUUGACAAGCUGUACUUUUCACUUGCAGAAAAACUUGAGGUUAAUUUUCUACUAUCUUGGCUUAAUCUCUUUUGACACCAAAGUUUAUCUACUACAAUGAAACUUUACUGAAAGACUUACACUAACCACAAAUAUGAUUAGCCCAAAAGAUUGACACAUUUGUUUACUUAAAUUUAGUUUUUAAUUUUCGCUUUUCUGUACAGGAUAUUGUCCUUGAAAAGUGUGUCAAUUCUACUACGUGUUUACCUCGAUCUCCAAAGGUAUUUAGAGUGGAAAGAGGAGUGAGUGCUAAUGUGUUGUUAGACAAUGCUGCCUAUCGAAAUUUCUUGUAUUCCAAGUUCAAUGCAACUCCGGUCGACAUGGAAAGUGCUGGAGUAGCCCUCGUAUGUCUCCAACAAAGGACCCCUUUUAUAGCAAUUAGGGCACUAUCUGAUUUAGCUGGUGGUGGUUCUUCUCUCUCCAAUGAAGCUGCUAUCUUCUCUUCACUAGCUGCUCAAAAUUCAGUUACUGUUCUACUUAAGUUCAUUACCUUGCUGUUUUCGCAACCUCAAGUUAUUUAACUUUUAACCGUUGGUACCAAAAAUAAAGCAGCUGAUUCAGUAGCAUGGGUUGAGAUAAAGGCCCGGUGUCAUUAUGGACACAAUCCAAUAAAGUUAUUAAUCAAUGUUGUUCCUAUUGAAGUUCAUUUUAUAAUGUUUUUCUUAUAAUGUUGUUUAUAUAAACCCCAUAUGGAAUGCAAUUAAGAGUAAUACACAAAUAUCUGCAUUGAUAUUCUAUUAAAAAAGAAUAAUGACGUGAACCAAUAGAAAUCGCCUCCCAAAUGGAUAUAUCAAGAAAUACAUGGCUAGAAAUAUCCAGUACUCUCUAGAAUCCACCAAAGAGAGACAAGAAUUCCAAGAGAAUGACAAAUAUAUCUCAAACAAAAAUAGGUUUAUAUUCAAAUAAUUGUGUUUCUACCUUCAAGGAUUUUCAAGAUUAUAUUUAAAUGAAAGAAACGUCUAUAUUAAGUUACAAAUUCGUGCAUUUAGAUUCCAAAGAAAUUGAAGAAUCAUAGGAACUAUCUUGAACCAGAAAAGAAGUGACUUUUAGCAUCCCCACGAAUAGACUUUUCAACACGACCACAUUGCUUUGAAAUUUUGAGUAGGAAAGUCAAAAAGGAGAUCCAUAAAUUGCUUUGAAAUUUUGAAUUGAUAACCCAAUGAUAUAUUAUUUUAUAUCUAAUAUGUCUCAACAUGUCUCAUAAUUUAGUUGAAGUGACACCAAAAUUCUACACCUUAAAACUCUAAAGCACCAAAUUUGACUUCCUUGUUUACUCUUUAAUUAUUCCAAUUUACUAUUUUUACUUUUAUUUGACAAAACACAAAGUUUUGUUUGAUUUUUGAUCUAAAUUAAACUAACUUAAUGUAUGUUAAUGUAAACAAAAAUCGAAUUAGGUUUUUUGAAUAUGAAGAAGAUAUUAAGGCAGCCAAUUUCAUUUAUUGAUCAACUUUAAUUCCUUAAUCAAGAAUCCGAACUAAAUAUCGUGUUUGGUCUAAUACUUCUAAUGUAUUAGAUUUAUCUAUCUUAAGUUCAAAUUGAUUCUAUUCCAUAUCUUUAUGUGAAUCAUGAUAUACUAAACAUUAAAUUUUUAAGAAUUCAUUUAAUAACUGCAUUAACUGUAAAAUGUAUCUUUAUACUAGAAUCUUGAAAAUUGAAUGAACAAGGUUUCCAUAAACUACAUCAUUUGCCCUAACAGAAAGUUUAGUUUCGCAUAUUGAAUGAAGAAAGGCAAAAUUAUUAGUGAAUAAAUCUCUAGAUUUUGAAUGAAGAUGUAGAAAAGUGUAUGAAUCUUGCACCAAGAUCCUCUUCAAUCAACGCUUCAAAUCCUGGACUUGAUAUCUUGAUUUAUUGCUUUUCUUCUAUGUGUUUCUCUCUAAUUCUUAAUUUGUGGAACAUUUUUUCCUCUCAGUCAAGUCUUUAUGCAGUAUUAUAAUUUUAGAAUAGUUCCCAUCGAAAAAAAUACAAAUAUUUGCAGUUUACCCUACAAUUUUCCAAAGCUUCCAUUUUGGUCCCCAAAAUUGCCAAUUAUCAAUUUUUUUAUCCUUAUUCUUUUGAAUUCAUUCAAUUUCUCAAAACAUGUUUCAAUCGAUUGAUUUCAAUCUCAGAUGGUCUUCAGGUGUUCAAAUUAUUCUCCAAUCAAGUUCAAAUCACCACUUUUUGCAUCAAUCAAACUCAACGUUGAUCUUUUCCUACAUAUCACAUAAUUAGGCAGCAAUCCACUCAAAUUAAUCAUAAUUUAUCAAGAUUAAGAGCAAAAAUAAGCAUAUAAAAUACACUUAUCAACACCAUAAACAUAAACUUUUGUUUGCCUUGAACAAGAUUAUCAACCCAAUACACAUGCAUGCAACAAUUAGCAAGUUAGAUAGUCUAUUGUAUUUGCUUUAGGAGUCGAAACUGUGACUGUCCAAAGUUAACACCACCUCGAUGAUUGAGACAUGGUGAGAAAAUUGGGACUUUUCUGUCGAUUGGUUCUUCUUCUAGAGUGGGUAUAUCUUCUUCUGCAUUCUCUUCCUUUGCUUCUACUACCAAUCUCCCUUGCUUGUGCCGAUUUAUCUGUGACUUUGACUAUCUCGUUAUUGUAAGGCAUAUAAGUGGUGUCACCUUUUUUUUCUACUUCAAAUAGUGUCAUAGGUACUCCAGCUCUUUUCCACAAUGCAGAAAUCAAACUAGGCAUUGUUAGUUUUGUGUGAUCUCUAGGAAACAUAGGACGAUCCCUGAUUGUGUUGAUGAUGAUUUAUCCAAAAUUAAGUUGUAUCUCAUGGCUAGUUUGUACAGAAACGUAAUCUUUAAUAUAUAAAUUACAGUAAUACAGUAUUGUAUAUUGUUGGGAUCAUGUUGCUUGAGAGAAAAUGAUGGAAGAUACAUAGUUCAUCAUUCAUAUUUCCAUGAUCAACUAUGUUGGUGGUUGGCCAACCUUAGGCUUGGCCCUUGAAUAUACGAAUUGCGCUACUGUGUCCUAAUCAAUGGUCUUAGUACUUUAGACCUUUCUUCAAUAUUAUAAUACACUUGAACACACAUAUGUUUUAGAUAGUCCUCGCUUUCUUCCUCUAUAUCAUCUACAUUGAAGCUACACAUGAAUUCGCUUUCUACGUAUGUGUAAACCUUAUUGGGUUUAGCAUACAGUUUGGUCCACCCCUUUUCCCUGACAAUGUUCAGUAUGUUCAUGAGUUGGAUUUGGUCUAGUUGCACUCCCUGUGAAUAAGAGUCCAAUUAUUGAAUAUAUCUGCACAUUGUGCUAGUUCCUAAAAAAUAUAAGUUUCAUAAGACAAAAGCUCGAAUUGAGCCCCCUUUCUAGUGCUAGAGGACUCGAUAAUUCCCUUUCGCUUAUUUGCUCUAAAGAUUGUUGUUCUUGGAGGUAUUGUAAAUGAGUUAUAUCCUACAAAUGUAAAUAAGAUGUUAGGCCAAAUUAUAUUUCAUCAACUUGUAUAAGGAAAAUAUGUAUUAAUGAUAUAUGCAAGGAUGAAGUGAAUAACGUGACUCAAUUGAAAUUUUCAUUAUGUGUGAGGAUUGUGGAGUGGACAAACACCCCCAAACUUAAUGUGAUAUAGUAGCACAAGAGUAUAGGGUUAUAGUAGCUAAAAUUGAAUUGAAAACCUUUUAACUAACACUUGAUGUAUAAGGGAAAUUCUUAGGUCUAAUCCAUUCCUCUCUACAUAAUUGAUAUAUUACACUUGGAACAAUAAGGAAUUAUGGGUAAAAAUUGACAAACACCUAGUUGUAGACUUUCAACAAACACAUUGUGUGCAAAAAAAAAGUUCCAACCAAAAUCCACUAAUUAUCAAUUCUCAAACAAGACCCACAUUCUUCAAUCUAACAUCCUUAAAUCCAAUCCCAACAAACUCCAAUUCAAUGUUUUCCUACAACCAUUUGAAAAAUAAGUUUUUUCAAAAUAGUAGAAAAAUUCAAAAAGUUAUAAACUUACCUUGAAGAUUAUGAAUUAAGUGAAAGUGGAUUUAAAAUACUCUUCUUUUGAUUAAAUCAAAUAAUUUUCCUUGCAGAGUAAGAGAUAAAAGAAGAUUUCUAGUCGUGAAGGGUAGAGUAGUUAGGGUUUUGUGAGGAGAGAAUGAGAAUAUUUCAGGGAAAAGUGAAGAUGAUUAUGAUUUUGAAAGUCUCAUAUUUUUAUGUUGUCAAAUAUUUAUUUUUUAGUAUUUAGUUUAGCCAGUAACAAAAAUAAGAAAAGAAAAGGUCAAAGUUAAAAGGCCUGGAUAUGGUCGUUAGUUGGAAACCUUCUUAUUCUUCUUCUUCUUCUUCUUCUUUUUUUUCAUUUUUUUUAUAAUUUGAAAAAACGUGCAUAUGCAUUCCUAAGUGCUAUAUACAACGUUAUUAUGAAAAAAUUAAAAAGAUUAUAGUUUAAAAUUGCAUUUUCUCUCUUUAGUCCUUGUUUUAUAGUCUUUUAGUUCGACUUUAGCCACAAUCAUUCUGGAACGGCCAUAUCAAGGGUAUCUUUCGUUGUAUGGAAGUCCUCUACAAAAUGUUUGACACUUUGUCCAUUAACUUUGAAGUUUCCCUUUAUUGGAUGAUAAAUUCAAUUGUACCAUAGGAAAUUACUUGAGCUACCAUAAAAGAUAUAGACCAUCUUGAUUUUGGCUUUUCCGAAAGAAGUUUCAAUAUGGAGUUGUACAAGAGAACUUGGUCCCCAUUUCUGAAAACUCGUUGCUGAAUGUUUUUUUCAUGCCAUUGUCUUCUUUAUAGAUAUCUACACUAUAACUGCAAUAUUCUUGUUUUCCCAGCGUUUUCUAAAUCUAUAUUCAGCUCCUUCAGUGUCCAAUAUGCUUUAUGCUAGAAUUCCACGGGUAAAUGACACGUAUUUCCAAAUGCAAACCAGUAUGAUGAAAUCCCAAUCGGUGUCUUUAAAGCAGUACGGCAUGCCCAUAUUGCAUUAUCUAACUUUUUAGACCAAUCAUUAUGAGAUGCAUUCGCACUAAAUUCUAAGAUCCUUUUAAAUUGUCUAAUCAAAGUCUAAGUCUGUCCACGUGUCAAAGGAUUAUUUUUUAAGAGAAGCUCGAACAAUCUAUUUUUUGUACUAUGAUUCACACACUGAAUUGACCACUACUGCAUUUGCUCCAUCUGUUAAAGAUUUUAUUAAUAACUCCAUUUGCUUUGUCAAAACAAGAAUAUGCACAUUGGUAGAUUUCAUGUUGUCCAACUCAUUAAUUCCAUUUGCUAUCUUUGGCACUACUGUUUCAGAUGAAAACAUGAAGUGUGUAGUUGUAAUCAACUACAAUAAUUCCAAAAAAUUGUUGAACUAGUUUACUAAUAAUGGACCCGCUUGCUAAAAAUCUACCUAAGAUCUGAUGAUUUGGCCAUUGGUGAUUGUAUGGCAUAGAAAUACUCUGUUGAUUACCUUUGCUUAUCUCAUGAUUUGGACAAUUUCUCAUUAAAUCUUUGAAUAUAUUCCAACCUUUGUGGUAACUUUCUGCUUCACGUUGCUAGAAUGUAUGGAUUUCAUGUUGAACUUUUGUUACUUUUGUAGGUGGGAAGAAUUUAUUAUAGAAUUUCCUUGCUAAGUCCUCCCAAGUAGUGAUACUACUAUGAGGCUCAGAAUCCAACCACUCAAAAGCUACAUCUCUCAAUGUAUAUGAAAAUAAGUAUAUCUUGAUUACAUGUUCAUUAAUCCCUGUAAGCUGAAAGUUUUGGUAAUUCUGUAGAAAUCUUAACAUAUGUGUGUUCGGGAUUUCAAAAGUAAAUUCUUAAAACUCGAGGAUGUUGCUAUUCAAGUUAAUCCAAUUAGCACUUAUCUGAAAGUUAUUCUUCCCAAAAUCUAGUUAUACAAUACUGGAUAAGUCGAAUGCAGCUAUAGGAGUCAAGAACAUUGACAUUGAAAAGCCUCCUUCAUCUUUCUCAACUAGUUCGCCAUGUUGAAUUUUGGUUCCGCUAUCGUAACGGCUCCUUUGUGCAAUUGGCAAUCUCAAAAUAUUUUGCUCUUCUUCUAUCUGAUGUUCUUAUUUUUGUUUGUGCUCCUUAAGUCUUAGUUUAAAAGUAAGUUCUAUUUUUGGAUCAAAUGAUUCCAGAGUGUUGCCUUAAGAAUGGAGCACAUAACGAACACCUUUUUAUUUGUAAGAAAAAUAACUAACCAAGUAAAAAUAAAACAAUCAAGUAAAAGUAAAACAUAAAAUAAAUAGUCCAAGCAACGGUGCCAAAAUCUUGUUACCUUUUUCCUAUCGCAAGUGUACGAUAUCAAAAAAGUAAUAUAACGGACAUUUGAAUCCAGAUAAUCAUUCCCACAGAAGCUAUUUUUGUUCCUAGUUUAUAAUUUCUACUUCUAUUUUGCGAAAAAAAAAGUUUAGUUUGAUUGUUAUUCUAGAUUAUACUAAAUUAACGUAAUGUACAAAGAAAUUGAAUUAGGUUUUUGAAUAUGAAGGAGACAUUAGGGUUGACAAUUUCAAUAUUGAUCACCUUUAAUUCCCUAACCAAGAAUCUUAUCUAAAUGUUGUGUUCAGUCAAAUUCUUCUAACAUAUUCAAUUUACCUCUCUCGAUUCAAAUUGAUUCUACUUAACUAAGUAAAUUCCAUAUUUCUGUGUGAAUCAAGAUAUUCAUUGGCUAAAAGCAUUAACUUCCUGGAAUUCAUAUAACAACUGCAUUAACUAGAAAAGGCAUAUCUACGCUUUUAUACUAAUUUCCAGAUUGUACUACAUGGUCUAAACCUAUAACUUACCUCACGACAUGUUUAUAAGUUCACAAGAUCAUUGAAUUAUUGGCCAAGAAAUUGAAAUUAUUCAAUAUCAUAAAUAAAAUAAACACAAAUGAAAUUGAGAACAAGAAUCUUGAAAAUUGAAUUCAAGGGCUUCAGUAAAUUACAUUGUUUGCACUAACAAAAAGUUUAGCUACACGUAUUGAAUGAAUAAAAAAUAAAGAAUUAUUGUUGAAUGCAUCGUUGGGUUUUGAAUGAAUAUGUAGGAAAAUGGACGAACUUGCACCAAAAUCCCCUUCUUGUCCAAAUCAAAGCUUCAAAUCCUAGUCUUGAUAACUUGAUUUCUUACUUCUUCUUUUUAUGUGUUUCUCUUAAUUCUCAAGUUGUGGAUCCUGUUCUUCCUCUCAUCAAAGUCUUUAUAUAAUAUUAUACUUUUUAUAAGAGUUCCCUUUUAAAACAAGCUCAAAAGGACGAAAAGAAAAGAAAAACAUACAAAACUAAUCGGGCCACGGGUAGGCUGCAGGUUGCAAGCCAGUAGGCCAAUUGUGGCAUACAAGAUACAACAAUGGCUGCAAGUCGACUGCGGGUUCCACCUAGGGUCCACUUUUUCUUAUUUUCAAAUCGGCCCUCCAAUUUUCAAAACUUUCAUUGUGGUCUCCAAACUUUUUAAUUAUUAAUUUUUUUGUCCUUAAACUUUUGAAUUCAUCCAAUUGCUCCGAAACUUCUUUCAAUUGAUCUAUUUCAAUUGAUGAUCUUCAAGUUUCUAAAUUAAUCUCCAAUCAAGCCGAAAUCACCACACUCAACCUUGAUAUUUUCCUAAAAAUCACAUAAUUUCAGAUAAUUGGGUAGCAAUUCGCUCUAUCAUAAUUUAUCAAAAUUAAAGCCAUAAAUAAGCAUAUAAAACAUAUUAUUAGUCCAAUUUCAUUAGCUUGACACUACUUGUACUACUAGGAGGGUCGAUCAAAACUUUGAUAAAUAAUUGACUCUAUUUAUUUGACUUUUCAUAAGACCUUCAAUCUUUCGACAUUACUAUGUCUCAAUUUAAGUAACGCAUAACAUAACAUUUUGCAUCAUAUAAAAGGAUAUCGUUAAAGGAAAUUUGGUAGGAUUACCUCAAAAAUAUGAAACAAAUUUUGAUGACCACAAACAUCCUUUAACUGAAAAGGAAAUUGCUUGCGUGAAUCCAUAUCUACUAAUUCCAUUCAGAAAUUGAAAUAUUCAUUGUUGACAAUAUCCAUAAAAUAAUUGUCAUGUUUGAAGUUUCUUCAAUUAAGACGUUAUUCUAAAGUUUAAUUGUUUUUUUAAAUAUUGUGCAAAUGAGUUUUCUUUAUUUGGAGCAACGUGCAAAUUCGUCCAUCAUUUUGGCUAAAAUAAGAAAUUAUGAUCCAAGUACACAUCAUCAUCAUACAAAUUUAUGUCUCUAUUUAUAGACAACCACAUGUUUUUUACUUGUAUUUUCAGCGGGGAAAAUAUUGAAAUCAAAGAAUCUUAUUCGUAUCAAACAAGUGUAUGGUUAGAAAACUAUGUCCAGUGGGCUAAAUCACAUUUUUGUUCGGAACUAUGAUCAAAAUGAAGUUAAUAAUACUCUGUUGUUUUUGUAGUAUCAAAUGACAAAUCUCAAGUUUAUUUGACUUAAAUCAAUGAGAUUGAUGGUUAAUGUUAGUCCUAAUCAAGUUCAUUUUACUUCGUUGUCUUCAUAAUGUCAUUUAUGUAAUUGAACAAGAAAUUAAUUCAUUUGUAAUAUCAUUAAUAUAGUAAUACAAAUGUAUGUGUCGCUGAUAUGUUGAAAUAGAAUAAUUCAUGGAGAAACUAAAAUAUAUAGACAAAUAUUACGAAAUUUAUUGAUUUGUGUAUUUUAUACACUUAUCAGAUCCUAAAAUAGCGAUAUUUGAUAGUUCAUUUGACAAAAAUAUAUCAUAAAUUGUUGUAUUUUAUGUCAUACAAGUAAAACUCAAUGGUUGAAUGAAGAGAAAUUGAAAGAAAGAAGCAAGAGGAAUUGAAAGAAAGAAGAAAAAAUUGGUGAAAAAUGUGAAAUCCAAAGUAUGGGGACUAAAUUACAAUAUUCUAAUAGCUGAUUUGGACCAUGAAAUGAAGAUUAAAAAUGUUCUGGGUUUAAUUGUAUGCAAUUGAAAAUUUAAGGAACAAAAUUACAAGAGAGAGUGGCUGAAAUGAAGUAAAAUUAAUGUUUGAAGACUAUAGUGCAAAUAUCGAAAACUUGUGUCAAACCUUAUGAUGAAGAUUCUAGAGUGUUAGGGGUCAAUAGGAGGAAAGAAGUCAAGGGGAUGAAAUAUAGUCAAAAUAUUAUCACAUAUCAACUUUCAAGUAAAAAAGUUAUGCUUCAGACUUUCAGUUUCUGCUUGAAACCAUUUUUGGCAUAGGAAACAUUCAAAUCGGAAAAAUUAUAUUUCUAGAAAAAUUUGGCCAUUGAGUUAUCUUUCCAACACACUUUGAAUCACUUCAAUAAGAUAUUCGGAGAGAAAGAUAUGACUAAAAUUCUAAAGUCUAUCUAACGGAAAGGAAAUUGAACUAUACAAUCGCAUCCUAACAUGCAGGGACAAACUUGGAGCUCAACAAGCGAACUAUGCAGUCGCAUCCUAAUGUACUAUACGAUCACAUAGUACAAGAUUUUGACAGAAUCUCAGAUUUCUUUAUACAAUUAAAACUCAACUUGGUAAGGUUUUGGGCAACAUCUUUGACCUAGAUACGAGUCAUACAUAUAUCAGAACAUCCUAUGUACAUUUAUUCAACAAAAAAACUCAAGAAUUUGAAACAAAUAUGUUGAAAAAGAGAGAAAAUUCAUCUUUGAGGAAGAUUUCAACCAAGGAAUUGCAAGAAGAUCAUCGACGAGACUUUAUACCAAGAAUUUUGCACAAAGAUUAAAAGGAAACCUCAAAAGUUAUCAAGAAUCCAUCAUUUUCUUUAGUAUUCAAAUUCUAGGUGAUGUUUAUUAAACAUAGAAUGAUUUCUUGUAAAUUCAAUAUGUUUGGCUAGAUAUUUGCAUUGCUAGGAUGAGAAGAACACUUGUUAUGAGAUUUUUGGUAUUAAUUAAUUAUUUUGACGUUUAGUAUGUAUGUUUUCUUGGAUGUUUGUUAUUGUUUUCACCGACUUCUCAAUUGAUUAGCUACUAAUUGGGAUGAUUUAUUGGAAUCUAUUGUUAUUGAGAGAGAUAAUAAGUUUUUACCUAAAAAUAAUAAAUAUUGUAAGGUUUGAUAAUAUCUAUACUUUACAUGGUUUUCAUAGGUAUUCUAGAUCAUUUAAUGCAUUUAUCAUGUUCAUAUCUUUUAUCGAGAUAUAGGAAAGUCACAUGAGGGCAAUAAAUUUGAUAACUAUCGAGAGAUGUUUUUAAUUAAAUUAGGAAUAUUGAUCAACAAUAAUGACUACAAAUUGUCGCUUUAUUUUGUUGUGCUUAAAUUGGAUUAGCAAGGGAGAUUUGACAUCCUAGCAAUACUUUCACAUAUUUGAAAAACUAGUUAAAUUGCUUCUAGUUUGAUUUAUAACUUAAGUAUUAGUAUAGAAAACUCAAAACUUGUUCCUAUUCGAUUAAGGCUAUUAUUAACUUGAACUCAAUCAAAUACUUAAUCCUUUUGGGUUUGACACUCUACAUAUUACUAUAUUACUUGUUCAUGAUCCCGUCCACUUACAAGGAAUCAAACGACCAUGGAUAGAAAUUGAUCCUACAAAAUAUGUAGGUAAAAAUUUGUUUGAUAAUCUUAGAUUAUAUUUUCAAAUUUUCUCAAACAUGCGUUAACUUUUUAGCAGAAAAGCUAAAGGCUAAGCACGGUUCAUGUCAAGUUUGGACUAAAGUGUAGAAACCCAGGAAUAAGACAUAUCUUGGAUAACCUUUGUUCACUCGACUACUCAAGUCUGGCACGAUCUACUUGCACAUGUUGUUUGAUUAAUGACAAAAUUUGUUUCCAAUUUCAAUUGAUCCACCUCGAACUUGGUUAUUUGGCCCAUUUUUACACCCCUAGUUGGCAAUAACUUGUUUGUUAAAUGUUAAUAACUCCACAAAACUUGAAAUUACCUCUCAAAAGUAAUUCUAUGUGUUACAUGAAGAAAUGAUUAACUUUCGCAAAAUAAUUCACUAUUUCUUGAUCUAUUGCCAUUGGCAUUGGCAAACUCCAUGAUUUUUUUAGUUGUUUGGUGUAUCUUCAUUUCAUAAGAGAACCAAAAUGAUAGGAAAAGAUGAUUAUCACCUUUCAUUGUUGUGUUUUAAUAUUUACCUAAUGCAUUAUUUUAGUCAAAAGCACCUAUGAAAUUAUUUUAGUUGAACAGUAACCAAACAACUUAGCAUUUCUAUUAGGUAUUUUAAUAUCAAAUAAACUCAGGACAAUAAUGAAAAAUCAGGUCGGAUUAAUUUCAUAGGAUUUGAGCCAAAUUAUUGAACAUUGUUUAAAGAUUGACCUCAGUAAUAAUUGGCGGGCCAUAAUCGAGAUGGAUGGAGAAUCCCACAAGUGUCAAUUAGAGGCAACUAGGGCUUGACCUAUUUAAUAUUUACUUGGGCCAUUUAGAUGACCUACCCUCUACUGUUUGAGAUAAAGAUACGCUACAUACGCUGCUUUCCUUCCUUACCUCUUACUGCACAAUUCUCUUUGGUUUUCUUUGUGACCUUAGCCCUACAACCGGUAGCCCCUGUUUGCGGGCCGUUGGGAUUCUUGGGUCCAAUUGGUUAUGUGAACAAAUAGAAAUCUCCGCUCAAAUGUAUCUAUCAAGGAAUGCAUAAUUAGGAAAACUUAGCACUCUCUAGAAUCCACCAAAAGAGAUGCAUGAAUUUAUAGAGAAUGAUUAGUACCUCUCAAAUUAAAGUAGAUUAAUAUUCAAAUACUUUCGUUUCUACCUUCAAGGCUUAGAAGAGUGUGAUUUAAAUAGUCGAGACUUGGAACAACCUUCCAAACAUAGGCAUUUUCGUAAGAAUUCUGAUAGGCCCUUGUCAAAUACACCUAUUCUAGAAGGGUCAAGAAGGCGGUAGAGGACUUGGGUAAGUGUAAGUGUACAAGCAGCCUUCCACCCUAUAUCCUUGGAGGCAUAACCUGCGAUUUAUCUCCCUCACGAUGCUCCAGGGCAGGGGCGGUGGGGGACCCUUAAGGUUGGGGUUUAACCUUUUAAGAAGGCGGUAGAGGAGUAACAAAUUCUGUUGAGCAAAGAUGACAUGGCUAGAGUUAGUUACAGAUGAUGGUUAUAAAUAGAAUAGAUGCAUGGAGUCAAGGGAUAUGGAAAAAGUUUGUAAGCAAGUCUUAAUAGGAAAGUCAGGCCCUCUCGAACGGCCUCUACCAGUUACUGUGUUUGAGUUGUAUUUCUCAUUCAAUCAAUACAAUUAGUUUUCUCUUCCUAUUUUUCUCUUAUUUUUCCUUGAUUUUACAGUAGGACCCUAUCAUUGUGGCAUUAAAGCACCCUGUUCCUUUCGCAGUCAUGACUCUGGUGGACUAAGUAAGUGUGUUGGAACAAAAGGUGGACUGUAAUCAUCGUCAACUACAAACUAACCUGGAGGUAUUAUGAUUAGAGUUUCAUUCAAUGCAUACAGGCAUUAUGGAGAAGGUGGAUGUGCUGCUACAAGAUUGGGCAAGCCAGGAGAGAGAUUGCAAGGAAAAGGAGAUGGUAAAAUUACUAGCAUCAUCUGUCGAGUUUGGGCCAACCUAUUCCAGACCAAGUAGAAGCCAAUACAAGGGAGAUGGAGCUCUAGGAAAUUGGAGAGAAGAGUGGUGCGUAAGGCAUUUGGAUAUGCCUGUGUUCGACGACACGAAAUCAGAUGGUUGGAUUUUAGGGUGGAAAGAUAAUUUGGGAUCAACACGAUGAUCAAAGAAGAGAAGAUGGAUGCCGUUGUCGUAUGUUUGGACAAAGAGGCGUUAAUCUAGUUUAAAUGGGAGGAGAAAUGGUGGUCGAUUCGAAACUGGGAGGAGAUGAAGCUAAGGCUGCUACGACAUUGUCGAGCUUCACAAGAAGGGAAGUUGUGUGUCCAAUUUUUGGUAGUUAGGAAAGACACCACAAAAAGGUCUUAUCACCAGGGACUUGAAAUGUUGGUUGCACCCAUUGAACGGUUUAUCGAAGAAAGUGCUAGAAGAAAGUUCUAUGAAUGGGUUGAAGCCAAAAUUGAGGACAGAAGUCCAAUUAUAUAGGCUUUCUGGGCUGGAAAAAUGAUGGAAAUAGCCCAGAUGGUGGAAGAAAGAAAUUGAGUCGUAAAGGUUGGACAGUGGAGCCUAGGUCCAACAAAAUCUAAAGCAAUCACUCCUCCUAAUCCAAACUCCUCCUAAAGUCUUAACCCAAUACCCAAGCCCACCAUCCCUCUUAAUAUCAUCCUAAAUCAUAUGGCCGUCCCUAGUUUAUUCCCAAAACAGACCGUUCCGUUCAAACGACUCACAAAUGUCGAGGUACAAACUAAGCGUAAAAGGGGAUUAUGCUAUCGAUGUGAUGAAAAGUUUACGAUCGGCCACCAGUGUAAGAAUAAGGAGCUCCAAGAGCUUGUGAUCAGAGAGAUAAAAGUCACGUCGGAGGAAGAGUUGGCACACGACAGCAGUGAGGAAAGGGCUGUAAUUGGGAACACCGAAGUAGAAAAGGCUGAAGUAAAUCAGGCCAUUGAGCUGUCAAUUAACUCGGUUGUUGGACUCACCACUCUGGGAACGAUGAAGCUGAACUGUAAACUCGGCCAAAGGAGGUAGUUGUACUUAUUGAUAAUGGAGCAUCCCAUAAUUUUGUCAGUUCUGAAAUUGUUCAAUACCUGGGCAUUCCUUCGUCUGGAACCCUACGGUAUGGAAUGAUUAUGGGGAUGGAUCUCACUGUAAAAGGAGAAGUUGUAUGAAAACAGAUAUCUCUGAAGUUACAAAACAUGCUGGUGGUAGAGGACUUUUUACCCUUGGGGUUAGGGAGCUUGGAUGUCAUAUUGGAGAUGCAGUGGCUGCAAAAUUGGUAAGGAUGCAAGUAGAUUGGAAUACUUUGACGAUGACUUUCAACACAGCAGGAACCACGAUGACCCUUCAAGGAGACCAAAGUCUAAGUAAAACUCCAGUGUCACUAAGAAUGAUGUGAAAGUUUUUAGAGAGCAAGGAGAAGGGCUCUUGUUGGAAAUGGAAAAAAUCAUUAUUGAGGCCAAAAGAGCGCCUGAGCCACAAAAAAUCAUUGUCGAGGUAUUGAAGGAGUUUUCUACAUUUUUCGAGAAUAGCAGUAAGUUGUCCCCCCUCAUUGAGCUCAUGGCCAUUCUAUCAACCUACAAUCAGGAGCAGGCCCAAUUUGCACGAGGCCGUAUAGAUACCUGUAAUUCUAGAAAAAUGAAAAAUUGAGAAUUUAGUACCAAAAAUGCUUUCUAUAGGAGUUAUUUAGCAUAGCACAAGUCUAGUGCUCCUUGUGAAGAAAAAGGACGAGAGUUGGAGGUUUUGUAUUGACCAUCUGGCAAUGAUCAAGGUGACCAUUGUAGACAAAUUCCCAAUUUCUGGUCAUUGAUGAGCUGUUGGUUGAGCUACAGGGAUCAACCAUUUUUUUUGAAAAUUGAUCUAAAAUCAGGGUAUCAUCAAAUUAGGGUGAAGACUAGAGACAUUCCAAAAACUGUAUUCCACACUCACGAAGGCCAUUAUGAAAUCCUAGUUCUGCCAUUCGGCCUAAAAAAUGCAUUGGCAACCUUCCACCCUUUGAUGAACGAUAUAUUCAAGGUGCAAUUCUGAAGAUUUGUUCUAGUCUUUUUUGAUGAUAUUUUAGUUUAUAGCCGAACAGUAGAGGAGCACCAGGAGCAUUUGAGAUGGGUAAUACAACGGUUAGCAAAAUAUCAUCUAUUUGCCAAUAAAAAAAAAUGCUUGCUUGGUCAGAAAGAGCUAGAAUACCUCAAUCACAUAAUUUUAGGAAAGGGGGUAGCAGCUGAUGCAUCUAAAGUGGCCGCAACGGUAGCUUGGCCGUGACCAAAGUCCCUUAAAGAACUACGGGGAUUCCUUAGUCUAACAAGGUACUACCUGAGGUUUAUAAAAGCAUAUGGGAAGAUAGUGUGGCCACUAAUGCAACAAUUAAAGAAGGAUAACUUUGGAUGGAGUGAUGAGGUGGAGGCUGCUUUUGAGAGUGUGAAGAAGGCCAUGGUUUUGGCCCUAGUAUUGGCGCUUCUGAAUUUUUCAAACCUGUUUGUGAUCAAACCAAUGGAUUCAACCAUGGUUUGGGGGUGGUUUUGGUGCAACAUCAAAGACCCAUCACCUAUUUUAGUCAAGCUCUUCCAUCUCGAGUCCGUAGUAAGUCCAUUUAUGAAAUAAAGUUGAUGGCAAUCAUAUUUGCUGUGCAAAAAUGGAAGCACUAUCUGACUGGGAGGCAUUUUGUAGUCCAAAUUGAUUAGAAGAGUCUCAAAUUCUCAUUGGAACAACGACUAGUGAAUGAAGAACACCAAAAGUGGUUAACUAAGCUGCUGGGAUUUGAUUUUGACAUAGAAUACAAGCCUGGUUGGAAAAUAAAAUAGCAGAUGCCCUGUCCUGCAUUAAGUUAGCUACAACCUUGAUUACUCUUAGCAUACCAUGUGUACUACAGCAAGAUGACUUAUCAAAGGCAGUGAAGAAAGAUCCAGAGUUAACCCAAAUUCUCACAGCAUUACAAGCUGAUCUGUCGUCAUGCGUAGGGUUUGCACUGAUUUGGGGUGCACUAUUAUAUCAUGAAAAACUUGCCCUUCCUAAAGAUUUUCCAUUUGUGUUGUUAGCAUUACAAGAGGGACAUGAUAGCAAAAUUAAGUGUGAUGGGGGUUUCCUCAAGACAUAUAAAAGGAUAGCCAAAACAUUCUAUUGGAGAGGCACGAAGAAGGACAUUCGGGACUAUGUGGCAGCUUGUGCCACUUAUGAACAGAACACAUAUUCUACUCUCAUGCUUGUAGGGCUGCUUCAACCUUUAACAGUGCCAGAGGGAGUUUGGGAUGAUAUAUCCACGGAUUUUAUCGAAAGGUUGCCAAAAUCAGAUGGUUUUAACUCAAUCUUGGUAGUUGUGGAUCGUUUGAAUAGGUAUAUCACUUUGCGGAUCUCAAAUACCCCUUCUUAGUACCUUUUGUGGUGAUAGUUUUCAUUAAGAAAUAGUUCGAUUGCACGGCAUGCCACGAUCGAUAAUCUUUGAUCAUGACAAGGUGUUUGUCAGCAAAUUUUGGAGUGAGCUCUUUCAGUUGCAAAGCACUAAGCUAAGGUUGAGUUCAGCCUAUCACCCGUAAAUCAACUGUCAAACAGGGGUAGUCAACAGAAGCGUCGAAACAUAUUUGCGUUGCUUUACUUUUGGCAGGCUCGAGGAACGGUUUCAUUUUCUAUCAUGGGUGGAACUGUCUUAUAAAACCUCUUUCCAUGUGUCAACUCAAUUAACACGAUUUCAGAUCUUGUAUGGCCGGGAUCACCACCAGUCAUCCAUUUUGAGAAGGGGUCUAUCGUGGUAUCAUCACUUGAUCACCAGCUGCUAGAACGAGAUCAGUUAUUGGAUGAGCUAAAGAAGUAUUUGCAGCGAGCUCAACAAAAGAUGAAAGCUGCAGCUGACCAGCAUAGGAGGGUUGUUGAGUUUGCAAAUGGAGAGCUAGUCUAUCUGAGAAUGAGGCGCUAUCGUCUUAAAUCAUUAGCACAAUGUUUGAAUGAAAAGCUUGCUCCCAGGUACAAUGGGCCUUUGUAAGUGUUAGCAAAGGGUGGGCCAAUAGCUUGUAGACUGAAACUACCACUUGAAUCCUAAAUUCAUCCAGUCUUUCAUAUCUCUCAACUCAGAAACGCUGUGGGAAAAUUCCAUCUACUCUCCCACAAAAGCUAGGAGUAGAUUGGGAGUUAAAGGUAAAACUUGAAUCUCUAUUGGGAAUUCGUUCUGUACCAUUGGGCGAUAUUGAUAAGAUGGAGGUACCGAUUAAAUGGAUUGGGCUAUCACCAUUGGAAGCAACUUGUGAACCUUUUGAGUUCAUUAACCAACAAUUUCCUUCUUUCCACCUUGCGAACAAGGUGACUAAAUUGGGCGGGGUAAUUGAUAGGUCCCCUAUCAAAUACACCUAUUCUAGAAGGGUCAAGAAGGCAGUAGAGGAGUAAAAAAGUUCUGUUGAACAAAGAUGACAUGGCUAGAGUUAGUUACAGUUGGGAGUUAUAAAUAGAAUAGAUGCAUGGAGUCAAGGAAUAUGGAAAAGGUUGUAAGCAAGUCUUAAUAGGAGAGUCAUGCCUUCUUGAACGGCCUCUACCAGUUAUUGUGUUUGAGUUGUAUUUCCCAUUCAACCAAUACAAAUAGUUUUCUUUUGCUAUUUCUCUCCUGUUUUUCCUUGAUUCUACAGUACGACACUCUCAAGUUCUUAUAAAUUUUCCAAGAUCAAAUUUAAAUGAAAGAAAUAUGCUUAUUAAUUUAUAAAUUCAUGCAUGCAUAUUCCAAAGAAAUUGAAGAAUCAUAGGACCUAUCUUGAACCUGAAAAGAUGUGACUUUUAGCAUUCUCACAAUUAGAAUUUUGAACAUGACCAUUCUAAAGGAAUACAUCGACAACUUUGCUCACGAAAGUCAAAAUCAAUAUCCAUAAAAUGCUUUGAAAUUUGUAAUUAAUAACCAUUCCAAUGGUAUAAUAUUUUGUAUCUAACAUGUCACACGGUUUCCAAAAUUUUAUAACACAAAAAUUCUGCACCUUAAAAAUCUAAAGAAUUGAUAAAAGAAAUUAGACUUCUUUUGUUUGAAGUUUUUAAAUAAAAAUAAAGCAGUGAGCCAUGCCUUAAUUUCCGCCUAUUCUACCUAAGUAAACUUUAAUUACUCCUCAUCGUGAAUCUUAAUGCAUAAGCUUGACCCUACUUGACUACUAGUAGGGUCGAUCAAGACUUUGGCACAUAAUCAACUCUACGACUUUUUGAUCAUUAUUCAUUUGACUUUUCUUAAGAUUGUCAAUCAUUUGACACUGCUAUGUCUCAAUUUAAGUAACGUAUAACAAAAGUUUUUAUAUCAUAUAAAAGAGAUCGUUAGAAGAAAUUUGAUUGGAUUACCUCAAGAAUAUAAACCAAAUUUUGAAGACAAACAAACUCCCUUUAAUUGCAAAUGAAAUUGCUUGUGUAAGGCCAUAUCUAUGGAUUCUAUUCAGAAAUGGAAUUAUUCAGUGUUGACAAUAUCCAUAAAAUAAUUGUCAAGUUUGAAGUUUCUUCAAUUAAGAUGUUAUUCUAACUACUUAAUUGUAUUUUAAAUAUCGUACACGAGUUUCCUUGAUUUGAAAAAAUGUGCAAAAGCAGUCCAGCAUUUUGUCUAAACUAUGGAAAUAUAAUCCAAACCAGGCAUCAUCAUACAAGUUUAUAGUUAGAAAACUAUAAAGUAUGUCCGGUGGGCUAAAUUACAUUUUAGAGCCCAAAAUGAAUUUAUAAUAUUGUAUAUAGGUUCGUUAUUUCGUUGUUUUCAUAGUGUAAAAUUACGCAUCUCAAGUUUACUAGCUCGACUCAAUUAAUAAGGUUGUUAGUCAACGUCGUUUCUAAUCAAGUUCAUUUUAGUUUUAGUUUUCAUAAUGUCAGUAACGUUAUUGAACAAAAACCUAAUCUCGGACUUAUGAGUCAGGUUUUAACCCUCAUUUGUACUAUCAUUAAUGUAGUAAUACAAAUGUAUGUAUCACUAACAUGUUGACAUAGAAUAAUUUGUGGAGAAACUAAAAUAAAUAGAACAACUUGAUAUUGAAAUUGUUAGGUAUUUUGAUGCCAAAUAAACUCGGGGUGAUGAUGACUCCUCGAAUAGGAUUAAAAUCAUGUGAUUCAUUUGGAAUCUAUUAUUAAGACUAUAGUUAAUAGUCGACCCGAAACACAAACUGAACGCCCACGAAAGAGGUUGCAAGGAGUAUUACAUUUAGGGCCUGACCCUGUGCCCCCUCCCACCGCUUCCCUUGCCGUUGUGACAUGAACAGAUAUUACACACAAUUUAACCUUCGAGCCCCAUUUUAAGAGAAACUUACGGCUACUUCCUUGUGAUCCAUCUUCUUCUCUCCAUUUUUGGAUCACCAUUACCUACCUUGUGGUUGGCACUUUGGCCGUUGUGUUAGGUGUAAUAAAAAAUGUAGCAAUAUAGAACAAAAGUGAACAAGAAGAUGAAUACAAACGAAAGAAAACUUGAACAUGAAAAUAAUGUCGUUGUCCUUAAAUGAUAUUUGCCUCCUUCAUAAUGCUCUUAAGGAUUAAAAUGGCAAAUUGUUUGUAGGAUUAAUCAAGCCUCAAGAAGAACACUAAAAGCAAAGUAUUCUUCAAAUGAACAAGUGAAAAAGAAGAAUUUGAUUAUGUAGAGGUACAAAAUUUCAUAUAAAAUUGGAUGAAUAGUAGAGUAAGUUUUUCAUGUAUUUUUGGAAUAAACACAAUAUAUAUUUAUAGAUUUUUAUCAUCCUUACACGAAAAGGUUCCAACUCAAAUGAAUAGGUACAUGGAUUCACCAAGAAAACUACCAGAAAUUCGAAAAAAAAUUCCAGCCAAUGAUCAUAUUUUUCAACUAUGCGACCACAUAGGCUAUAGCUAUCCGAUCGCAUAGUUAUAGCUUUGGCCACCUCCAAUAUUUCUACAAUACCACAUGGGACCACAACCUUUAGAUGCUUAUGCGGUCGCUUAGACCAUUUUGUGGCCUAUUUGUUUUUUCUUUUCUAAAUUCAUCCACUCAUUUGAUAUUUUGAAUAACCAAUUUACGACAAUCUCCCACUUGUUCAAAAUCACUAUAAAUCACAUAAUCAAGUAUCAAUGCUCAUGCAUAAGUAUUAGAUGUCUUUCGAUUUGAAUCUAACCAUAGUGUAAAUCUCUUAAAGCAUUAUCAAAAUUCCAAGUACCUAUAACGCUUUGAACCAGUUUUUCUUGUGACAAUAACGAUGAAAUCACACUCACAAAUGUUAAAAUUUUCACAAGUUCCUCUAACUUACUUAGUGUUAAUAUGACCUUGCACUUUUCCUUUUUCAUUGAACCUUUAAAGAGAAAAAAAUUUCAAUUCUCUAAUGAGUCGGCAUCACCUUGAAGUUCACAUAGUUGUAUCUUUGUUACUUUUAAAGAUACUUUGUACCAUCCAUCCAACAGUAACAACCAAUACUAUUUACCAAAGAUAGGGUUUAACAAUUUAAAAGUGUUGAAAUCUAUCCACUUAUCAAAUGAUUUGUUAUUACCCCUUGAACCUAAAUAUACUUAUUUAGUAUACUUUUGCUAGGGUUGCUAUCAUUGGUGGACCUAUUUAAGGAGUUUCAACCCAUCCUGCUUGAUGUCAAUCUUACUAAUUCUCUCGUGAGAUGUUUAGUAAAUGGGUAAGCUAAGUUCUCACUAGACUAAACAUAUGUAAAAGAAACUAUUCCAUGAUUGAUUGAUUUCCUUACAUACUCGUGUCUUAGACUCAUAUGUCUAGACGUUCCAUUAUACACUUCGUUAUAUGUUUGAGCAAAAGUAGGUUGACUAGCACACAAAAUAGGUAUUAAAGAAAUAUCUUUUAUAUCUAAAGGAAUUUCAUAUAACAGAUCUCUUAGCCACUCACCUUCUUUUCCAGUUUUGGCCAGUGCUACAAAUUCUGACUCCAUGUUGAGAGAGUACUGCAAGUUUGUUUCUUAGACAUCCAAGAAACUACACCUCCUCGAAGAGUAAAUAUGUAAUACCCCCAAAUCUAGAUACCUAGAUUUUGAAGUAUUAUCAUUUCAUUUCCUCUUAAAACCAUAAAAGUGGAGGCGAUUAAAUUUUUUCUUUAAUACGAUGAACAUCAUUGACUUCAUUUAUAAACAUAACUUGUAAAAAACUUUUGUACUUAAAUAAAAAAAUAAGAUUAAAUGUUAAUUUUACUUUCUAAAAGAAGUCAACAUUAAAUGUCUUAAUACUGAAUUUAUCACAAAUAGUCAUCUCGAAUCAUCUUGUCUUCAUCAUCUGAAGAUGGAGAGGGAUUACGUGGGAUGAGCUAAAGCUCAGUAAGAACACCUCAUGUAUAUGAUUACACAUGAAUUACUUUAAGAUAAAAACAUUUUUCAAUAUGUAUCCCUUAUUUUCACUACUUUAAAAACUUGACAUUUUGAGCUCACUUGGUGUAUCGCCUAGCGAAACAAAAUGCAGUGGAUAAUUAUUAUUUGGAACCCGGUCGAGUCCUACCGGUAGUACCGUAAAGUGGUUAAAAUUAAUAUUGUCGUAGAACAUCGAUUGGGUGCGCGGGUCCCCUACGUCCCAUUUCCCACUCACACUUUUUAUGACAUAAACAUACACCUCGUAAUAAAAAUCUUAGGAAUAUAUAUCUUUAAAAAACAUUCAUUGACUCAUGACAUUUGAAAACUUUUUGUUCCUUGAAAUUUCAUGUAUGUUUAUGGAUAUAUUGACGUACAUGAAUAUGUCAUGAAAAACAUUAAUAACAUAAAAGGUAAUAAUCAAAUAUCAAGAUCACGUAAUAACAGAUUUUGGUAACAUAUAUAUAUAUAUAUAUUUAAUAAUGUAACGUGGGCAUGAAGCUUAUGGGAGGUUUACUUACCUGAAAUCCUUAACAAUUUACUUUUAGCAUACAAGAAAUGGAUGUUUGUAGCAGUCCACAAGAAGAACUUGCUGAAGAGUCAUAAAUCAAUACCAUUUAAUAAGAAAUUUUUAGAUACUUAAUGUUUAUAACUUUAUAGACAUCUCCUUAGAUAUCAAUACCCUAAUUUUUUUUUACAUAUUUAUUUAUAACUCGUAGAUAUACAAUUACAUAUGUAACAAUACAUUACAUAGACGAUUUUAAAUGGGAGCAAGCAAUAAACAUUGUGGUGUGCAAGUUGUGAAAAUAAGACUACAUGCCAAGGUUCAUUUACUUCAUUAUUUCACACUAACCAUAUAAUAAAUAGCAAUAAAUUAUGAAUAUAAACUAUUAAUUAUUCUAGAUGUAAACACAUAUAAACCAGAAUGUCUCCAUGUUCUAACUAUUAUUAAUAGAUAAUUUGUAUAAAUCUCAGCUUAUAAAUUCAUAACAUUUGAAUCUCAACAAUUUUCAGCAAAGCGUGUACAUAUUCACGUGGAUUCAUUUUUAUAUGAUUUUAUAAGGGAGAUUUAUAAAAUUAUCUAUUAAUAAUAGUUAAGACAUGGAGACAUUCUGGUUUAUAUGUGUUUACAUAAUCUUCUAGAAUAAUUAAUUGUUUGUAUUCAUAAUUUAUUGAUAUUUAUUAUAUGGUUAGUGUGAAAUGAUGAAGUAAACAAACCUUAGCACGUAACCUUAUUUUCACAACUUGCACGCCACAAUGUUUAUUGCGUGCCCCCUUUAAAAUUGUCUAUGAAAUAUAUUGUUAAAUAUGUAAUUGUAUAUCUACGAGUUAUAAAUAAAUAUAUUAAAAAAUAAGGGUAUCGAUCUUUAAGGAUAUGUCUAUAUGGUUAUACAAAUUAAGUAUGUCAGAAAUUUCUUAUUAAAUGGUAAUGAUUUAGGACUCUUCAGCAAGUUCAUUUUGUGCAUUGCUACAAACAUUUGCCUUGUAGGCUAAAAGUAAAUUGUUAAGGAUUUCAUGUAACUAAACAUCCCAUAAUCUUCAUGCGCACAUUACAUUGUUAAAUAUGUAUAUAUGUUACCAAAAUUUGUUAUUACGUGAUCUUGAUAUUUGACUAUUACGUUUUAUAUUUGUUAGGUUUUGAGUUGGCAAUCAAAUUGUAAAUGUUAAAAAAUUAAGGGUUAAAUUGUCAAUAUUUAAAUGUCAUGGGUCAAUUUUUUUGUAAAAGUAUGUUAGGGUUUGAGUUUGGGAAAAAGGGAAGAAGUGUCAUCAAAGUUUCGCUAGCUUCUCGCCAAGAGAUUGUUCGAGCGUAAAAAACAGAGACCUCGUCGCCAGCUCAUCGCCCUUGGCCUACUCAAGUGGAACAACGUCACUUGCUUUUUGCUAGAGUUUUGCUGGGGCGAUAGGUUUAUUUGGAGAAACCCUAUUUUGUGAUUUUCGAAAUUUUUCCUCGACCCACACUACCCAAAAUGUGUCCUAUAUAUUCGAUUGAGCCGUAUUCGUCCAUUCUUAGAGGAUUGAUCUUGAAGAACACAUCCUACUCUUUUUUUACAUUAACUCAAUCCCACUAUCUUAUUGGUGCACUCACUCAAAAACAUCAAAUCCACAUCCAUCAAACACCAAAACCUGUCCUUCUAGAGAAUUUGUUAGAGUUGAAGAUCAGGAAGGAGAUAGAAGUUAUGUUCUUUGAAGAACGGGGAGUUCUUAGAAAUUCACUAAAGAUAGAUGAAACCAAGAGCCGAGAGUUGGUGCAAGAGCACGAAUUCUAGGAGGGUUUUAGGGAAUUAUAGUCAAGAGGUUAGGAUAAAUGAGUGUUGUUUGAGUUUGGCAGACUGUAAGUUGAUUUUUCAGUUAGAGUGGAUUCAUACUGUCUUGGGCCUAGAGUUUUUAAUCCUGCAAGGGGUUUUCUCCGUCAUCGAAUUGUUAUGCUCUUUAAGUUUCUACAAUUUACUAUUUUGCAGCAGUUUAGCAUAGGUCAGUAAUGCAUGUGAAUCAACUUGGACAAAAUUAAUAACUGUGACUUGUUGCAAUUAUUAAUCAGUCAUUUAAAAUUCUCCACAAACACCUAUUUACCUCGUCUCAAUGUUAAUUGGGUCAAACUAUGUUAUUUCAAGUGGUAUCAGAGCCAAACCUCGAGCCCUGGAACAUGUCGGCCUACUGCGCUUUCCAUUAAGGUUCAGGGCAUUUUACUGAUGAAAUCAGUGUAUGACGCGUUAUACUACUAGCUCCUUGGCUAGUGGGCGAGGGAUGAAGUAUAUUCGACGAAGCUAUUCUUUCAUUUAAUUGAUUGCAUUACAAUGAAAGACAAUCUCAUGGUUCCUUCUCCUCACGAAAUGGAUUUGAAGUUCUUUGCCUCGGGUCAACGAACAGGUAAGAAUAGCGCUUUAGGUCGUGAGUACGUUAUGCCCGUUAUCACUCAAGCAACUCUAGCUCAAAGUAGCUCAAGCAUAGCUCUUUCUAUGGCUCUAGACUAUUCUGAGCUUGUAAACCAUAGGAGCCGAAAAUAGUUCCUCUAAUGAAGGAUCUUUCUGCGUUCAAUCACAUCUUACGCUUCGAGCAGGACCAUGCAUUUUGUUCCAAAUUGUUGUCUAGAUUAGUCAAUCUUUGUCUGUGCUUCCUUAUUUUGACAAGAGUAGUUAUACCUACUGGAAAGUUAGGAUGCGUGCAUUUCUUAAGUCCCUAGAUGAACCCGUUUAGGCUAGUGUACAAAAUGGUUAGAAGGCCCCAUCCACUACUGGGUCUGGUGUAGUCAUUCCCACUGACAUUUCACUUUUGACUAAGGAAAAAUUAGCUGACUGUAACUGGAAUAACAAAGGACUCUAUACAUUGUUUAUGGCUAUAUCUCCCGAAAAGUUUAGGAGAGUGUCAAUGUAUGAAACUGCUAAAGAGGUAUGGGAUAUUCUAGAGACUACACAUGAGGAAAUUAAAACUAUGAAUAAUUCCAAAUUGUAAAUGUAAACUUCUAGGUUUGAAGAAAUUGAGAUGAAGGAAAAUGAAUCGUUUGAUGAAUUUUACACAAAAUUGAAUGAUAUAGUGAACUCUAGCUUCAACCUAGGUGAGAGGAUUCCCAAGUCCAAAAAUGUUAGAAAGGUCCUUAGGUCUUUACCCGAGAGAUUUAGACCCAAAGUUACAGCAAUAGAAGAAAGCAAGGAUCUAGACACGGUUAAGAUAGAAGAACUUGUAGGAUUCCUUUAAACUUAUGAGCUCACUAUUUCAUAGCUGAAGAAAAAUAAGCCCAUAAUAUUGAAUACUAUUAAGGAAGAGGAGUCUGAAUCAUCUGACAUGGAGACCCUUAGGGAUGAAGAGAUAGCAUACUUUGUGAAAAAAUUCUAGAAAGCUCUAAAGAAUAAGAAAAGGCCUCAAAAGAGAAAAAAUGGAGGUCCUAGUAAAUUCCAGAAUGAUAAGAGUGAUAAACCAAAUGCUAGGAACUCUAGUAAGAAAUCUCAACUUGUUAGAUAACAUGAGUGUCAAGGGUUUGGACACUAUAGGAAUGAAUGCCCUAGUUUUAAGAAAAUUUUGAAAAAGGCAAGGAGUAAGGCAUUACUGUGUCAUAGACAGAUGGUGAAAUAAACUCAAGUGAUCAGGGUGACUCCUUUGGUAGUGAAGAUAAAAGGGUUAUAUUGCUUUCGUCUCUACAGUUAAGAGUGGGUCGGAUAAGGAGAGUGACAAGGUUGAAGAAGAUAUACAAGAUGAAAAUUAUAAGAUACUGAGGAUGAGACUGAUAUUCAUGAGGCUUACCAACUUCUGUUUAAGGAAAAUCUUAAGAUCAAGAAGAUACAUAAAGCCCUAUUUAAGAAGGUGAACGCUAUUGAGAGAGAGAAAGAGAGGCUCACAAGUGAUCUACAGGACUCGUCCAAAAGCCUUAAUGAGCUAAGAUAUGUCAAUGAAAAGCUGGAAGACAAGGUUAAGACUUUGACUAGUGACUUAGAGAAAUCAAAUAUUCACUCAACUCCAGUCAUUUAUAAGUGGGACUAAGAAACUAAAUGAUCUGUUAGGAAUGAAUAAAUCAGCUGGAAAUAGGCAAGGUUUAGGAUUUGUUAAGAGUGAUAGUAACAUGGCCAGUUUAUCCAAGACCACAUUCGUCCCUGCCUCCAACAAAUCUAGUAAUAUGGCUAAUUCGGAACCCAAAGGGAAAAGUGUCUCGGAAUAAAAGAUCACUAGAGCAUGUAAGAUCCCCCCACCUAAAAAUUAAUAUCAACAAUCACGUGCCUGUGAGCCUAGGUUUAUACUAAGCGUGGAAAUAGGAAUAGAAAUCAGGAUAUCCCUAGUCAGGUUAGCUACCUUUUAGAUCAGGUCAGUCAUUUAGCUGAUAUGGUGACAAAAUUGACCAAGAUACCUUGACUUCUCGAAAAGUUUGGGUCAAGAAAAGUGAUUUGGCUAGGCAUGCUGAGAAUCUAAACUGCUUUGUAGCUCAUGUUGCAUUUAAGGCUCAAAAUACGUGUAUGUGGUAUCUCGAUAGUACUUGCUUGAGACACAUGUAUGGAAAUAAGGCUUUGUUCUCUAUCCUUGAUAUUUUAAUGGUGGUAUGGUUACCUUUGGAGACAGGGCUACAGUACCUAUCCUUGGUAAAUGUACCGUCAACAUAUCUAGACUACUGACUAUAUCUAAUGUGCUUUAUAAAGAUAGUCUAAAGUCCAAUUUGUUAAGCAUAAGUCAAAUAUGUGAUGCUGAUUAUGAAGUGAGUUUUGUCCAAGAGAGGUAUACUGUUUAUGACCCUUUGGGUAGAGUUGUCCUCGAAGGUGUUAAAACUUCUGAUAAUUGUUAUAGAGUUCUUCCCAAUUCCAAAUAUGUGUAUAGCAGUGCUAAAAUUGAUGCGAUUAAACUUUGGAUCAAAGACUAGGUCAUGUGAAUUAUAAAAGUUUGUCAAAAUUGGCAAAAAGGAAAAUGUUAAUGGUUUGCCUAAAAUUGAACAACAAGAAAUUCUAUGUGUAAGCCUUGUAAGCAAGGGAAAUAAAUUUGGAUAAAUCACAAACAAACUUCUAAAAUUUUGACAAACAGAACCUUAGAACUUCUCCAUAUGGACUUAAUGGAACCAUCUAGGACUGAAAGCCUAGGAGGUAAGCACUAUAUUAUUGUUGUGUUGUAUGAUAAGAAAAAAAUUUGAAGCAUUUGAUCUUGUUAAAUCCCUGUGUAAAAAGCAUAAGACUGAACAAAAUCUUUCCAUAUCUAGAAUUCGAAGUGAUCAUGGAAAAGCAUUUGAAAACUCCAACUUUGAAAACUUGUGUUUGGAGGAGAAAAUUCAGCAUGAGUUCUCCUCACCAAUCACUUCACAACAAAAUGGGAUAGUUGAAAGGAAAAAUAGAGUGCUCCAAGAAAUGGCUAGAGUCAUGCUUAACGACAGGGAUCUUGCAAUGCAUUUCUAGGGUGAAGCAAUCAACAUUGCAUGCCACAUAGUGAACAAAGUAUACCUCAGAUCGAAAAUCGAUAAGACUCUAUAUGAGAUUUGGAAGGGUAAGAAGCCUAUUGUCAAAUACUUUCAUAUGUUUGGCAGCAAGGGUUACAUUAUGCGGGAUAGAGAAAAUUUAGGUAAGUUUGAUUUCAAUAAUGAUAAAAGGAAUUCUUUUGGGAUAUUCUAAGAAUAGUAGAGACUACAGAGUAUACAAUUCGCAUACUCAAAGUGUCAUGGAGUUCAUAAAUAUUUUGAAUGGUGAUGCUUUUACUGAGGGAGAAGGUGGAAAAUUUAGUUGGUUUAGAAAAUCUAAGUGAUGAUCAAUGAACAACUAUUGAACCUAAAAAACAUCCAAUAUCUAACUCUCCGUGCUUUCCUAAAGACAUAGACACUUCAGAUAAGAAUCAACCAAUUGGUGACAAAUCUUAGCCUACUAGAGAACCAUCAUCCAGGGUUAAAUCAAAUCAUCCUAAAGUCAAUAUCAUUGGAGAUCUAGAUGAAGGUAUGAGGUUACAUAAAAGGGUUCUAAUUAAUCUAACAUACACAAGCUAUGUACCCCAGAUUGAGUCCAAGAAAGUAGAGGAAGCCCUUAGAGAUGAAUGUUGGAUAAAUGCAAUGUAUGAGGAGCUUAAUCAAUUUGUCAAGAACAAUGUGUGGGUUUUAGUUUGUAGGCCCGAUGAUUGCAAUGUUAUAGGUACUAACUAGAUAUUCAAGAAUAAGACCAAUGACCAAAGUACCAUAACCAGAAACAAGGCUAGGCUAGCCAGGGGUAUACUCAAGUUGAAAGUGUCGACUUUGAUUAGACAUUCGCCCCUAUCGCAUGUCUUAAGUCCAUUCGCAUCUUCCUUGUUGUUGCUUGUACCUUAGGGUUCAAGCUUUAUCAAAUGGAUGUUAAGAAUGCUUUCUUGAAUAGAAUACUUCAAGAAGAAGCAUGUGUUGAACAGCCCAAGGGUUUAUCGACCCUACAUUUUCUCAUUAUGUCUAUAAACUGAAUAAAGUCUUGUAUGGUCUGAAAAAAACUCCUAGAGCUUGGUAUGAUAGACUCACUGCAUACCUCGUUGAUCGUGGAUUUUCAAGAGGUAGUGGAAACAGAACUUUAAUCAUUAGGCAUAUUCAAGAAACCAUAACUAUAGCAUGGAUCUAUGUCGAUGACAUCAUUUAUGGCUCUCCUGUAGACUCUUUUGCUUAUGAAUUCACUGAAUGCAUGAAAUAAGAAUUUGAAAUGAGCAAGGUUGGAGAGCCGAGCUACUUCCUUGGUCUUCAAGUAAAGCAAAUAGAUGAUGUCUUGUUCAUUUCUCAAUCAAAAUAUUCAAAUGAUCUUGUCAAGAGGUUAGGGCUAGGUAGGAAAAAGCACACAAGGACAUCCAUGAGCACAAGUGCUAAGUUAGAUCACGGUUCUAAAGGUAAAAGUGUUGAUCAAACACUGUCUAGGAAUAUGAUAGGUAGUUUACUCUAUCCUACUGCUGGUAGACUUGACAUAGCAUUCAAUGUUAGAAUGUGUGCAAGAUAUCAGGCAGACCCUAAAAAACCCAUUUGAGUACAGUGAGGUAUAUCAUUAGGUAUGCAAAUGGAACCAUAGAUCAUGGAAUCUUAUAUUCUAGAGACUCCAAACUUGAUCAUGCCAACUACUCCGAUGCCGAUUGUUGGCUGGAAAUUCUGAUGAUAGAAAGAGUGCCUCGGGUGGCUGUUUCUAUAUUGGUUCUAAUCUUGUGUCAUGAAUGAGUAAGAAACAAAACUUCAUCUCUUUGUCCACGGUCGAGGCUGAAUACAUUGUGGCCAGUAGUUGUUACACUCAGCUGCUUUGGAUGAAGCAAAUGUUGAGUGAUUAUGGGAUAAAUUAGGUAUACCAUGACUGUGUUUCAUGAUAACACUAGCACUAUUAACAUCUCUGAAAACCCUAUUCAACAUUCUAGGACAAACAUAUUGACAUUCGUCAUCACUACAUUCGAGAACUUGUUGAAUCCAAUGUGGUAUCCUUAGAGCACAUUUCUAUAGAAAAUUAGCUUGUCGAUCUGUUUACUAAACCUUUAGACGGUCUGAGGUUCGAGUCACUUAGAAAGUCUGUCGGUAUCUAUGUACCUUAUUGACCAUCUUCAUAGGGACAUCCAUGUACAACUCAUUUACUUGUCUGUUUUUGCAUUUAUUUCAUUGCAUAUUCAUUUUGAUUUGCAUUUGCCCUCUCUUCAUGCAUUUUUAAUUUCAUCAUAUAAAAUAAAAAAUUUAGUCACUGCAGAAUCGUAUUUGUUUUACUUAAACUUGCAUCUUUUGAUCAGAUAUACAUUCAAUAAAUGAUUAGCUUCAUAUUCAUAUCACUUGAAUUUAGUCUAUGCGGCGUACUUAGUAUAUGUCUCUUCAUACUUUGUCUGUACAUCACACACUAUGACCUUGUAAGUGAAUCUUGACCGCAUAUGUGAGAUUUGGGAUGACUGUCAUCUGGUGAUGAGGUGAUCGUAAUCGUGAAUUGAUCUUUGACUAGGCGAUCUAAAUUCUGCUGGUUCCUUCCAACAAAAGUUAAAAAUAUUGUUGAGUUAUAUCUUAUACCCAUCUUCGUAGCAUAGUUGACUCGAGCAAUUAAGUUUAAGGAGUUUAUAAUGCUCCAAAGCUAACUGGCUUGGGAGUCACCGAACCAAAGCUCGUUACAAGGAUCUUCUUAGUAACUUAAUGGAGAUGGGCUUGCACUUAAGAUUAAAAAAAAAAAAUUUUGGUUAUAGACAGGGGAAGAAAGAAAAUUACACACCACACAUUCAUUGAAUUAUAGGUCCCAGUGGCGCUAGAUUUGACUUUCACAAUUCUGGGAGAUAAAUUCAUUCAGCAGUGAAUUAGCAUGUCCCUUCUCACAAAUUUAAGAUUUUGAGUCUUGUUUCCAUGGAAUUAGUGGCACUUUUACAUAUGGGUGGGACAGCAUUUCUAGUCCCUGAGCAUGUCAUAUUUGUGAUAUGUGUUAGGGCACGUAUCAUAUUUAAUGAAAAAAUAUUGGUGCAAAAAUGAAAAUUUUCAAAGUAAUGCUAAAAUUCUGCAUUUUCUAAGUGUUGCUAAAAUUCUAUAUUUUCAUGAUGUGGUGCUAUUUCUAUCAAUUUCCUAUCGCUCGAUUAUUGUUGACCUCUUGCUCGAGUGAUAAUAACAAAAUUUAUGUCACUCGCUUCUCACUCGAAGCUCACUUGAGCGACAUUUAAGUUUGAAAUACACUUCGUCACCUCAUUUUCCCAUUUUUCUUCAAAUUUUCAUUGUUUUCUCUUCGAGCACACACUAUAUUCUUGCAAAAUCUGAAAUUUUGGAUAGGUCUUCAUCACUGAUUGCAUACAUUACAUAUGGUUAAAACCAUACAUUUUACCAUUUUGAUAUCUUUUGGGGUUUUGUCGAUUUCGCUUCGAUAAGCCACAAUUUCUUGAAUCUAAAUUAUUCCAUUGUGCAUCUUGAGUGUCGCAUUGCAUCGUUAUGGCUCAAGUUUGCAUUUUUUAUGGCAUUUUUCCCAUUCUUCUAUUGUUUUUUUCCCACAUUUUUGACACUUUUAUCUCGAAUUUUUUCUUCUCAGCGGUGCAUUUUUAUGACAUAGGAUUGUUGUGAUGAUGUUUGAGUACUAUUUGGUAAGUUGUGGGGUAUUGGGACUGUAAGUGUUGUGUGUUUUUUCACCUUUUACAUGUGUAUGCCACACGUUCGACAAAUUGCCUCUUCACUGAAUUGACUCGCUACCUAGGCUACUUUUACCUACUAUAUUCAUAAUCUAAGUCCCAAUCAUUUUUGGUUCUUUGUGUCUCUUGGUUGACGUCCCGUUCUUAUGAUUUCGCGUCUAGAUCAUGUCAUAUGUAACUGCGCCUUACGCUUUGCCACCAUCUCACCUCCGUCUUGACACUAAGUCCCUAACGUCUUGGCACCAUGUCACUUAGUUCUUGACAUUGCACACUUAUUGCAUAGUUUUGCGUUUUACUAUUUUUCAUUGGGUUUUAUGCUUUUCUCUAUGAUGCAUUAUUUUCCGUGCUUUUCGCAAGUUUUUGUAUCAUUUUGCACGUUUUUCCUAUUUUGCAUCAUUUAGAGUCUUCUUCAUGCUUUCGUAUAGCUUUGGGUGAUUUUUACAUAGAAGCACGUACAUCCAUGCAUAUCUCAUUUUAGGUGGUCUACGAGUCUUAACAUCUUGGUAAUAUUCUAUAUUUCAGCUGGCACCUAAGAGGGCACGAUCCGCUGCUCAGUCUAUUAGUGGGUCGACUUCGUAUAAUCGGUCUAGGUUUAUUUCUUCCACUGCUCAGGAUAUGUUUGGGACUCAGUUCUCAUUACGUCCGUUCUAGUUGAGCAUGAGGUCAGUCUUUCUAACCUUCCACCUGACCUAACAGCCAUAUUUACCUUUAGGGUUUGGGAGUCUUUAUUAGUUGGAUUGUACGCCCCGCUUAGUCUCCUAGUCCAGGAGUUCAAUGUGAAUAUUCAUGAUGUUAACGGGUCAUCUUUUAAGGCCUUCCUUCGAGGUCAGUCGAUUAAGAUCACACCUGACAUUGUUUCGAGCACUAUUCAUAGUCCACGUGUCAUUUAAUCAUUUUUUCCAUACUUGUCGGUCAACCCUAUUCCGAUCGAUUCCUUGGUUAAGUUGAGUUUUUUUAAUAGUCCAUUAGGAGGUGGACCACACAUGAUUCACAUUGGAUCACUUUCUAUUGAUUGACAAAUUUUAUUGCGCAUUAUGUGCACAAAUCUGUUUCCAGUUUCUCGUACUUCUUCAUUGCUUAUGGAAAAGACAAGAUUUUCCUAUGUCCUUCUGCAUGGUGAUUCUAUUAACCUGCCCACUUUCAUUUGUCAAAAUAUCUCUUGUAUAUUUAGUAGGAUAGGUCUCCAUAAUGCGUGCUUAAUAACCGUUUGGUGACAUCCCUGAGGCUUCAUUUCCUGAUGGGGUCUUUCAUCGGGCUUUUCAUCCCAUUUGUCAUACUAUUUUUUCGCAGAGUAGAUCCCAUUUUCCUUCUUCUUUUGCUCCUGCAGAGCUUGUUGACCUAACAGUGCCUGCUGAUCUUAUCGGUGAUCUUUUCUCUUCUGAUUCCUCAUAUAUACCUCCGUCUCAUCUUGAUGUUCCUCCAUCCACUACUAAUAUUCCAUCAUCUUCUAUUUCGGUCGCUCCACACACUCGACCUUACUCAACUGCGGGCUAUUUCAGAGCGCCAUACUGCAAAGUUUUCUACAUUGAGAGGGGUUAUGGUAUAUGUGCAGCACGUGAUCCGGUGGAUGCUUAAGCACUGGGACUAUGACGAUGAUGAUGAGGAGGAUGACGGCGAUGGUGGUGGUUCAUAGUUGUUAGAGAUUCCCUUGUCAUUUGUGACAAAAACGAGAGUGGUUUUAUUGUAUAAUUUGACUUAUUUUUGGGAUUUGUGACUUUUGAUGAUUGACAUCGAACAUGAUUGUGUUAUGUUUGACAUUAUUUUUGCUAAAUUAAGAUUUGAUGUUUUGGAAUAUUAAUGUAUGUUUUUUUGGUGUUUUAACUUACAGUGAUAUUGUGUCUUAAUCUAGCAUUAUUCAUAUGAUAGUGUGCUUGCUGAUGACUAUCUAUCUUUACUACCUUUACUUAUAUUAUUGUUUUUUGUGAGUUGUAAUUUUAGGAAGCAAGCCUAAUGAAGACAGAGCAACAGUCAGUACAGUCAUUGUUUUGCAUAGUCAUUGUGGUCAUUGUUGAUGUAAUAUAUUUUUUGUCACUUUUUCACGCCUUGGACUAACUCUUCGGCUGUUUGAACUACUACUAUCAGGCAAGCAACAACUACAUUUCCUAAUUCAGAAUGUCAAAGGGGGAGUUUGUUAGGUUUUAAGUUGACAAUUCUUUGAACAAAAGGGUCAAAUUAUAGAUGUUCAAAAAUUAAAGGUCAAAUUGUCAAUGUUUAAAAGUCAGGGGUCAAUUUGUACAUGUUUAAAAAUUAGUGACUAUGUUGUAAUUUUGUAAAAGUAUGUUAGGGUUUGAGUUUGGAAAAAAGAGAAUAAGUGUCGUCAAAGUUUCAUUAGCUGAGCGCAGGAGAUUGCUUGUGUGUAAAAAACAGAGACCUCAUCUCUAGCUCAUUGCCCUUGUCCUGUUCGAGCAAAACAAUGUCACUUGCUUUUUGCUGCAGUUUUUAUUUUAUGAUUUUCGAGGUUUUGAACUGGCCCAUACUUCCCAAAAUGUGUCCUUUAUAAUUGAGUGCACCGUAUUUGUCCAUCUUUAGAGGAUUGAUCUUGAAAAACACAUCCUACACUUUGUUACAUUGAUUCAAUCCCACUAUCUUGUUGGUGCUCUCACUCAAAAACACCAAAUCCACAUCCAUCAAACACCAAAACCUGUCCUUUUAGAGCAUUUAUCAAAAGUGGAAGAUCAGGAAAGGAGAUUGGAGUUCUGUUUGUUGAAGAAUGGGGAGCUCUCGAGUAUUCACAGAAGAUAAAUGAAAUCAAAAGCUGGGAAUUGGUGCAGGAGCACGCAUUCCAUGAGGGUUUUGGGGAAUUACAGUCAAGAGGUCAGGAAAAAGAAUGUUGUUUGAGUCUGGUAGACUCUAAGUUGAUAUUUCGUUUUUAGUAUCUUCAUAUUGGCUUUGGCCCGAAGUUUUUAAUCCCUCAAGGAGUUUUCUCCGUCAUCAAAUUGUUGUGCUUUUUAAGUUUCUACAAUUUACUAUUUUGUGACAGUUCAACAUAGACUAGUAAUGCAUGUGAAUCAAUCUGGACAAAAUUAAUAACUUUGACUUGUUGCAAUUAUUAAUCAAUUGUUAAAAAUUCUGGCACAAACACCUAUUUACCCUCUCUCUAAGUGUUAAUUGGGUCAAACUAUAUUAUUUCAAUGUUAUUAAUGCUUUUCAUUACAUAUUUGUGCACGUUAAUACAUCCAUAAACAUACAUGAAAUUUCAAGGAAUAAAAAGUUUUCAAAUGUCAUGAGUCAAUGAAUGUUUUUAAACGAUAUCUAUUCCUAAGGUUUUUAUUACGUGGUGCAUGUCUAUGUCAUGAAAGAUGUGAGUGAAAAAUGGGGUGUGGGGGAUCGAUGCACCCAAUGAAUGUUCAAUGUUCUAUGACAGUAUUAUUGUUAACCUCUUUGUGGUACUAACGGUAGGACUCGACCGGAUUCUAAAUAAUAAUUGUCCACUGUAUUCUGAUUGGCUAGGCAAUGCACCAAGUGAGUUCACAAUAUCAAUGUUAUGUUUUUAGAGAAAUGAAAAGAAGGGGAUACAUAUUGAGAAAUGCCUUUUUAUUUUAAGUAAUUCAUAUGCAUAUCAUAAGCAUGCAUCAUCCGCAUGAAGUCUUGUUACUGAGAGUUAUCUCAUCCCACAUUAUUCAUCCCCAUUUUUAGAUGACGAAGGCAAGAUAAUUCGAUACGACUACUUGUGGUGAGAUGGACUUGGUACUAAUACAUUUAGUGCAGAUCAAGUUGAAAUAAGUUUAACAUUUAAUUUGAUUAUCUUAUAUUUUUAUUAAAUAUAAAUUUUUUUGAAAUCCUUUCCUUAAAUGAAAGUCGUUAAUAUUUUUAUGUUAAAGAAAAAUUUAUAAUCAGUUUCCACAUUAUGGUUUGAAGGGAAAUUAAAUGAUAAUACUUCUACAUCUAGGUAUCUGGAUUUGGGGUGUUACAAAAUACCCAAACUAAAGUGGAAUUUUCUCUCCCACAGUUGAUAUCCAAUUGGUGUCAGUUUAUCUUUCCAAGAUUUUAAGGAACCAUGUGUAUUGUAGUCCAAGGUUUUUAGUUUUCUUUAAGUAACCAAAAACCCUCUCGAUAGCCUUCCAAUGUUCGAAAAUCGAAUUGCUAGUAAACCUACUUAGGUUAUUCAUAGCAAAUGCAACAUCAUGUCUUGUACAUUGUGUCGCAUCCAUUAGACUUCCAGUUGCACUUGCAUAUUCUAGCUAUUGCUCCUCCAUCAUUUUUUAUCAGCUUGAUACUUAGAUCCAAAGAGUAUUAGCCUCCUUGACGUUCAAUUGUUUGAACUUAUUUAUUACAUUUUAACUUUGAUAUCAAUGAUAUUAUCCACUUGUCCAAGAUCUUUUAUUUUGAAUGUGGAGGAUAGAAACCUCUUCGUUUCUUUGAUCCCAUCUAUAUUGUUACUGGUGACCAACAUAUCAUCAACAUAUAGACAUUAAAGUAAUUAGACUAUUAUUUACUUUAGUGUAAAGACAAAAUAUCUACCGAAUUAUGAUUAAAAUCAUUUGACAUUAUUAUAGAGUCAAAUUUCUCAUGCCACUUAUUAGGAGCUUGUUUCAAUCCAUAUAAAGAUUUGAUUAGUUUGCACACUUUAUGUUCAUUUUUUGGUAGAACGAACUCUUCUGGUUAAAUCAUAUAGACCUCUUCUUUGAGAUCUCCAUUUAGGAAUGCCUUCUUGACAUCCAUUUGAUGAACACAUAAAUCAUAAAUUGAUGCUAGUGCAAACAGGUUCCUUAUCAAUGUUAUCCUAGCCAUAGGUGCAUAUGUGUUAAAGUAAUAUAUUCCUUCCUUUUGACAAUACCCUUUAGCUGCUAUUCUAGCAUUGUAGGUAUUAAGCGUUCCAUCAGAAUUGUACUUUUUUCUAAAUACCCACUUGCAACAAAUAGCUUUCGAACCAUUUCAUAAGUCAGCUAUUUCCCAAGUAUUAUUUGAAAUAAUGGAAUUCAUUUCAUUAUUUAUCGCUUCUUUUCAAAAUAUACAAUCUCUAGAUGAUAUUGCUUCCUUAUAGGUUUUAGGAUCACUUUUCAUUUGAAGAACAAUAGGUAUUGUUCUUACAACCUCCUUCCUAUCUCUCUCUACUACGUAAAAAUAAAUAAGUUGAAAAUCUAUUCCAUCCGAUCCUAAACCUUUUUCUUUUCGAAUUUUCUUACUAUUUCGAGGUUCACUUUCAACAUUUCUAAUAGCUCUCUAGAAUUUGGAAUAACAUCAUUAUUUUGAGGUUUUUACUAAUAGAAAAUUUCUUCUCCCUUGAUUCUAUUAUAACAUCUGAUUCAAGGUUUAAUAACCUAUAAGCCAUGCUAUUAAGAACAUAUCAUACAAAGGCACAUUUAAUAUCACUAUGACCUAAUUUAGUUCUCUUAUGAUCCGUAUUUUUAUAAUAAGCAAGGCACCCGUACACUCUGAAAUAAUUAAUAUUUGGUUUUCUACCUUUCCAUAUUUCAUAUGGGAAGAUCUUAUUAUUUUUCAUAGGAACGCUAUUUAGUAUAUGUCAAACACUAAGUAAAACUUCACCCCAUAGAUUAAAAUGUAAUUCAGAAUUCAAUAACAUGGCAUUUAUCAUCUAUAAGAAUGCCUUAUUCUUUCUUCAAACCAUUUUUUUUUGGAGUUCGUGGUGCUGAAUAUUGAUGCAUUAUUCAAUUUUGUUCACAUAACACAUUGAAUUCAUUAGAGAAAUAUUCUUCAUCUCUAUCACUUCUUCGAGUUUUAAGUUUUCUUCCUAAUUGAUUUUCUACUUCGAAUUUAUAAGUCUUAAAGGCACUAAAGGCUUCAUCCUUAUGCUUUAACAAAUAGAUAUAAGUAUAACUAGAGCAAUCAUCAAUGAAAGUAAUAAAAUAUCUAUUAUCACCUCUUGUUAGCAUGUCAUUCAAUUCACAUACGUCGAAAUGAACAAGUUCAAGUAGGUUUGUUGAUCUUACUGUACUACGAAAUGACUUUUUAAUUAUUUUUAAUUUAAUACAUGUUUCACAUUUUUCCAAGUUGUCAAAGUCACAUUGUAUCAACCCACAUUUGACCAUUCUUUUCAUAGUGCUAACUCCUAUGUGUGCUAAUCUACCAUGCCAUAAAUUGUAAGAAUCAACAACAUAGGCAAAUCAUUUAAUUUUAUUAGAAUUAUCCUCAAAAGUACAUAGUUUUACCAUUCCUUCAUCGGAAUAGCCCUUUCCAACAAAGUACCCAUUAUGGGUUGGUACAAGUUUUUCUGAUUCAAAAAUGGAUUUAAGUCCAAGUUUUCUCAAUAGAACUCCACUUGCUAAGUUUCUAUUCAUUUCUGGUACAUGAAGGACAUUUGUCAUAGUGACCUUCUUCCCAAAGUGAACAUGAUUUUCGAACUACCUUUGCCAAUCACUUGAGAUCUUCCUUCAUUUCCCAUUUGAAUUUCUUGAUCGUCUUGAAUGUCAUGAUAAGUUUUGAAAAAAGACAUAUCAUAACAAACAUGGAUUGUAACACUGUGUCAUACCACUGAUCUAGAACUUUCUCUUGGAUUGCAUUGAUUUCACUCACCAUAACGAUAAUCUCAUCAAUGAAAUUUCCUUGUCCUUCCUUCUUUCGUUGUUUUCUAUACUUGCAAUCUCUUGCAUAGUGUCCUAAUUUUCCAUAAACAUAGCAAGGUCAUUUGGAUUUGUUUUUGAACUUUCCUCAAUUCUUUUUAGGAGCAAGAGGUUUCCUUUUUGUUUUGUAUUUUUUGGAAUUGUCCAAACUGUCCAUGGCAUGGGUUUUCGAAGAGCCAUGUAGUCAUAUCUCUUGCCUUUGAUUCUUCCUCUAUGAGAAGUUGCUUUUGGACGUCUUCCAAAGAGAAGUCUUCAGAAUUGUGAAAAAUCUUCUUUCUAUAUCCUUUUCAAGACAUCGAGAAUUUAGUAAAAAUUGCUCCCACUUUGAAGGAUUUGAAAAGUUCAAUGUCACCACUUUCGAUUUGUUAACACUAAUUUACAAUUCGUGUAUUUGAGGCAACAAAUGAAUAUUAUCAAGCAUUUUGCAAUCAAAAUAUUUAGAAAUUAAAAUCUUCUUUGUACUUUCCUCCUCGGCCUUUUAUUUAUUUUCAAGUGCGUCCCAAAUUUCCUUUGCUGAAGUAGUAUUUGUGUAAGAUCAUAUAGCCAAUCCAAAAGGGCAUUUAGAAUGUGAUCGUGACAUAUCAAUUUGUUUUAUUCCCCUUUCUAUCAGCACGAACUUAUUCAAUAUUCUUUUUAUUGCAUUAGCGAUUGCCUCCAAAUUUAGAUCAAGCACGUAGAAGAUCUUUAAUGUUGUUAAUAGGAAUUUGAGUUUGUCUAGCUAUCUUGUGAAGUUAGAUCCAUCAAAUCUGUCCAAGCUCACCAAAUUUUGAUUCAUCAACAUGAUUGUAGCACGCGUAAAUUCUGUCUCCAUCGUAGUAAAUGAGGAUAUCGUUUGCGAAUGUUAUAAAAAAAUGCAGCAAUAUAGAACAAAAGAUGAAUAUAUACGGAAGAAAACUUGAACAUGAAAUAAUGUCAUUUUCCUCAAAUGAUAUUUGCCUCCUUCACAAUGCUUUUAAGGAUUAAAAUGAAAAAUAGUUUGUAGCAUUAAUCAAGCCUCAAGAAGAACGCCAAAAGCAAAUUAUUCUCCAAAUGAACAAGUGAAAAAGAAGAAUUUGAUUAUGUUGCGGGACAAAAAUUCAUACAAAGUUGGAUGAAUAGUAGAGUAAGUUUUCCAUGUAUUUCUGGGAUGAACACAACAUGUAUUUAUAGAUUUCUCUCAUCCCUACAUGAAAUGGUUCCAACUGAAAUGAAUGAGUACAUGAUUCAUCAAGAAAACUACCAGAAAUUCAAAAAAAAUUCCAGCCAAUAGUCAUAUUUUUCAACUAUGCGACCGCAUAGGCUAUAACUAUGCGAUCGAUUAGUUAUAGCUUUGGCUGCCUCCAAUAUUUCUGAACUACCACAUGCGACCGUAGGCCUUAGAUGCUUAUGCGUUCACAUAGGCCAUUGAUCUAAGCCCCGUCUAAUCCACUUUUGGUGCCAAUCAUUAUGAAAUCGAAAGGAAGGUGUUUGGUUUAAUCAAUUAAAGGUUGUGUUUAACUCCACAGAUAUUUUUCUCAAAUUCAUUUUUUACCAUAUAUUUGCGGGACAUACAACUUUUAAAUUGAAAUUUCAUUAAUUUUUAUAAAUCUCUCUCUCUCUCUCUCUCUCUCUCUCUCUAUAUAUAUAUAUAUAUAUAUAUAUAUAUAUAUAUAUAUAUAUAUAUAUACACACCANNNNNNNNNNNNNNNNNNNNNNNNNNNNNNNNNNNNNNNNNNNNNNNNNNNNNNNNNNNNNNNAUAUAUAGUCAAGCCAAACUAGGGCUUAAUUUCGUGGAUUCACAUAGAAUAUAUACGUAUUGACAAAAUUGGGAACAGCCAAAUGUUGUAACUCUCGUUUGAAUAGAAAAUCAUACGAAAGAAACCCUCACUACCAAAUGAUAAAAAUAGCACUACCUAAAUGAUUGUACCUAUAAGUAUUUAAAAAUAAAUAAAAACCAGUUGAUUGAAAACAAAAGGUUUAAAAAAUGAAUUAAACUAUUUGUAUGGUAGAGAUCCCCCUGUAUAAGUUACAAGUGCAGUGCUUCCAACACUUUACCUGUAAUAUGUAAAGGGGAUUUCCCCGGUACAUAUAACAUCACCCUUAGAAAAGGUAUGCGAGCUACAAGUGACUACACUCCUAGGUCAAUGUCAAGUUCAGACUUUAUAUGCGGCCUAAGAAGUGGUGCCUCGACCACCAAAUAUUACAAAAUGUAUUGAAAUUAGGUGGAUAGAUCAUACAAAAUAUAUAUAGGCAAAAAAUUGUUUGAUCAUCUUGAAUUAGAAUUUAAAUUUUGUAAAACAUGCAUUAACGUUUUAACAAAAAUGCGUAGUCAUGCAUUAUGAUAGGAACUCCAAAUUCUCUAGCAAAUACAGCUUUUUUGAUCAUUUCUUCGCAUGUACCUGCAGUGGAGUACAGAGAUCAAGGAAAAAGGCAUAUAUUGGAUGAUUUUUGUGCACUUGACUACUCUAGUCUGGCACGAUCUACUUGUAAAUGUUGAUUGAUUAAUGACAAGAUCUAUUUUGAAUUUGAAUUUACUGGUCUCGAACUUGGUUAAUUAGCCAAUUUUUAGAUCCUUGAUUGACAAUAACUAAUUUGUUAGAUGCUUAUAAUUCCACAACACUUGAAAUUACUUCUCAAAGGUGUAAGUAGAGAUUUGGUGGUUAUUUUUCAAAUUUUACUUUUUAACAAAUUCAAUUUUAAUCUUACAUUUUUAAUAAAAUAAUAUUGUAAGUAAACUCCUAAAUUUUCCCAUAUUUUAAUCAUAAAUUCUUUAAAAAAUUCACUUCUCAUAAAAUAUAUUCUAAAAAAAUCUACAUUAAAUAGAUCCUAAACGAAGGUAAAAGUAAAAUUGGCCAAAAUAAUUGGAAGGUAAAAGAGUAAACGGAGGUUAUGAAGAUGAUGACUAUAUUGCCACCAAAAUUUUUAUUAACUACAUCAUAUUUUAAUUGUAAUUAACUCCUUAAUCAUUGUUCAUUGUAGUAAUUAUUUUCUUAAUUUUUUCAUCGAAUUCUUAUCUUCAACCUUCCAUUAAUUUGUAUAUCUCAUUUUUUAUGUGGAUUUAUGCCAAAAUAUUUUGUUUCUAUACUUUAAAAUAAAGGAAAAAUAUUUUUCCUACCUUCUAAUUUAUUUAUUUUUUAAAAUAUGAUGAGAAAAUAAAUUGUUAUGGGCUAUUGUAAUGGACUUUUUAAACAUAAAAUAUUUUUAAAUAUAAAAUGUGUCAACACAUGAAAAGCUUGAGGAUUAGAAUACCGUUAGAAACAUAAAUGUUAUAAUGAGUAAAGAUUGAGAAACCUAAAUGUAAUUAAAAUGCGAUACAACAAAUAAAAAUUGUUGGUGUGAAUAUAAUUACAAUGGAGAUGACAAGGAAGACGGGGAUUGGAGAGAAAUAAGGAAAUAUGUCCAAUCAAUCCCCAUGAAUCGGCAGCCAUGGAAUUUAGGGAUUAUUAGAUACAAAAUGUGUUAACUCAUGAAAAGCUUGAGGAUAAGAAUACCAUGAACAAUAGUUAGAGACUAAAUGUUAUAAGAAGUAGAUUGAGAAUUCUAAAUGUAAAUAAAUAUGCUGUAAAAGGUAAAAUAUAUGAAAUGAAUAUAAUUCCAACGGAGAUAACAAGGAAGAUGGGGACUGGAGAGAAGAAAUCAUGAAAUAUGUCCAAUCAAUCACUAUAAAUAGGAAGCCAUGGAAUUUAGGGAGACUUAUAAAGCCACCUCCAUCAAGCCGCCGCGUCUCAUAUCUAAAUUCUUCAAUGCUGUUUUGCUACCUUGACAGCGUCCUAUUUCCUCUGUUUUUUCUUUUUUCCCAUUUUUUUUUUCAUCUUUCAAUGAUAUUUUGCUAUGUGUUAUCUGUGAAAGAAAUCUUUAUGUGUAGCAUGAUUGUCCAAAUUGGUGAAUGACGAUGGUUUAUAUCAUCGGCUGGCUUGAGUUAUGGAGCCAUUACAUAAUAGCUUAGCCUGAACCAUAGGAAUGUUGGAUGAAAUUAUAAUCAGACACUUCGUUUGAAAACGAUACACUUUAGUCCUGUUUGGGUUCCAUUCUACAAAAAAUUAUUUUUGUUAAACCUCAUUUUUAAUCAAAUUCUUCUUAAACUCAAGACCUCGAGUUUUUAGUUUUGUGGCGUGUCUGUAUUAUAAAAAAGAGAACCAAAAUGAUAGGAAAACAUGAUUAUCACCUCAAUUGUUUUGUUAUAAUAUUUACCUAAUGCUUUAUUUUAGUUCAAAAGCACCUACGAAAUUAUUUGAGUUGAAUAGUAACUAAAUAACUCAGUCCUCGUUUUGUCAAAUUUAUGAGUUAUUUAUAAAGAUUAAUAGUGGUGGAUCCGGAAAAAUGUGUAAAUAAUAACAGAGUAAAAAUUAUAAAUAUUUGGUUAAAAUUACAAAUUGUACUUGACUGAAUUUAUACACGUUUUAUCAGCUAGUUGCUAAAAAACAAAUUGUCCUUGACUAUAUUUAUAUAAAUGUUUUAUGUAUCAAUCGCUAAAGCCAAAUUGUAUCGACUCGUACAGGCAGGGCUAAUGUACCAUUUGGAUCAAGUUGGAAUAUCAACCAUUCACUUCUUAUCAACUGAAACCACUUUAAACAUUCCAUAAUUUUGUUGAAGUGACCAAAAUUUUUAAAUUGACAAUCUUGCCAAUGAUAAAUGAAUGUCACUACUAUGCGACCAUAACUAAAGAGCAUUUUAGAACCACAAAAAUAAAUGAAAAAGAGAAGUCCGUGAAUGGUGAGCCCUUGUUUGAACCCCGUUCUUUUAAAAAUUCAUUUUUUCAAAACUCAUUUUCAAUCACAUAUUUUUUAAUAAAAUAAUAUUACAUGCAAAUUCAAAUUUUUUCCUUAAUUUUUAACCACAAAUUCUUCAUUAAUCUACUAUUCAAAAUGCAUUCAUUCCCCCUAAAAUGGGGCUCAAACAAGGGUAAUGUCCAUCUAUUCUACCUACUUAAACAUGAAUUGCUCUUCGUCCUUGAAUCCAAAUGCAUAAGCUUGAGCCUACUUGUAAUACUAGUAGGGUAGAUCGAAACUUCGAUGGAUAAUUCAUUGUACGAGUUUUUGACAAUUCUUCAUUUGACUUUUCUUAAGAUUGUGAAUCUUUUGACAUUAUUAUAUUUCAAUCUAAGUAACGUAUAACAUAAAUUUUAUGUCAUAUAAAAGGAGAAUUUUGAUAGGAUUGCCUCAAUAAUAUAAACCAAAUUUUGACCUCAGAAAAAUAAAAUAAAAAUCACCCUUUAAUUGCAAAUGAAAUUGCCUGUGUGAGACCAUAUCUAUGGUUUCCAUUCAAAAAUGAAAUAUUCAUUGUUGACAAUAGCCAGAAAAUAAUUCCCUAGUUUGAAGUCUAUUCAAUCAAGACGAUAUUCUAACUAUUUAAUUGUUUUAAAUAUCGUAAACAUGAGGUUUUUUUUUUUUUUUUUUUUGUGAGACGAGGAGAAAAAAUAGUCCAGCAUUUUGGCUAAAGUAGAAAAAUAUAGUCCAAUCAGACAUCGUUAGAUAAGUGUACGUGUCUAUAUAUAUAGACAAUCACACGUCUUUUAAUUGUAUUUUCAACGGGGAAAAUAUUGCAAUCAAAAAAUCCUAUACAUAUCAAACAAGCGUAUAGUUAGAAAACUAUGUCUGAUGGGUUAAAUCAUAUUUUUGUUCAGAAUUGAGACCAAAAUGAAGUUAAUAUUGUACUUAAGUUUGUUACUUAGUUAUUUUUAUAGUAGCAAAUGACGCAUCUGGAGUUACUUCUAUUGGUAGUGUUUGUGAGUCUCAAACGAAUCGGAAAAAAUAGAAUUUAGAAUAGAAAUUUAAGUGAAGAAAAUUGUUCUCUCAGAAACUCAAUUUAUAUGAUUUCAUAUUUUUCUCUAAUAAUAAAACACUACAAAUAAGCAAUUUUUUGUUAAUACUAUAUUUUGUACGUAAUAAUUAAUUGUUAACACAUGAAUUUAGACAACCAUUAGAAAUUCCUAGGAACAAGAAGAGAACUAGAUUCAUCUACAAUAACUCUACAUGCAUGUAAAUCCAAAUUCAUCAAGACAAGAUUCAUCAAGUUUAAACUAAUAUUCAAACAUCCUCCCCUAAUCUAGACUCGAAUAACACUUUUUAUCGCACUCGAUCAGUUCAGAGUAUCCCCAGCUAUCUAGCCUCAUCCGAAGACUCGUCCCUUCAACUUUCUUCUUUCCCACCGCCGCCUUGCUUGACUUCACCAUUGAAUUAUUAACCACCUCAAUUGUCGGUGGCAAUGAAGACAUGGGCUUCUUCUUCAGUGGAUCAAUUGGCUCAUUCCCUUUCCCAUCUCCCCACUCUCUCUUGAGAUCGUUUCUAUAUAUAGAUUUCUUCUUCCUUUUCAUCCAUACAAUAUAGAGGUCUCCCGGGUGGUCACUGUUGUUUUAGAUUUUAUGUUAUGCCAUUUCUUUUUACUUAAAGUCGCUUGUCAUCACCAAUCUUUACUUGACUUUAGAGAGGAUCGUCCCAAAUUGUGAAAAUAUCUUUAUUAUCACUGAUAUGAUUACUACAACCACUGUUAAGAUACAAACAUCUUUGGUGACAAACUUCUUGUGCUCUAAAGGCUAGAAAAAAGAGCCUCCUCGUCAUUAUUUUGUUCCUUAUGUAUGAAAUUGAGUUAUUUUUGUCACCAUUAUUUUUCUUAAACACGCAAUAUUCUUUAGCAUGGCCAAAACGAUUGCAAUUGUAGCAUCGAGAAUGAGAAAAAUUACCACAAUCUCGCAUCGGCCUCUUAAUAUGCCUCUUCCUCUUCUUCAACCUUAAAAUGAACUUGGUUCUUCCUCGCUUUCACUAUUGACACUCUGGGGCUCGAAAUUUCUACCAUUCUCCUUUCAAACUUUGACUAAAAGAAGUUUGAGAUUGAAAGGCUUGUUAUAAAGGAAUGGCAUCAAAUUGCUUCAAUGUAAGCUCACGAGAUUGGAGAGAUCCCAUCAAGUUAUUUACCAAUAAAUUGGCCAAGUCUUUUGAUUUUCAAUGGCGACAACAACGUGCUCAAAUUUUCUAGUCAUGCUGCUGAGAAUUUUCCCAACAGUUCUCUGAUCUAAAAUUUGUUCUCCAUUUACUUUCAAUUGAUUAAUAAUUGAGAGAACACGAUUAAAAUACUCCUCCAUCAACUCAGAGUUUUUCAUAUUAAGUGUAUAAAAUUCAGAUCUCAGAGCUUGCAAUCUUAACAUUUUUACUUUAUCUUUAACUUGACAAGUUGAUUGCAAAGUGUUCCAUGUACCAUUCUGAAUUUGUUGUGGAAAUUCAUAAGCCUUCUUGUCCUUCUUGUGAUUUUCCUUUAAUUCGUUAUUUUGUUGCCGAGUAAGAGCAACUUGAUCUUGUGGCUCAAUAAAUCCGUUCUCAAGAAUUUCCCUUAACUCUUGGGAACCGUAUAAAACUUUCAUUUGUUGACUACAAUUCUUCCCAUCGAAGCAAGGAAGUUAAGGUUGCAACACAUUGUUGUUGUUGGAUGCUAUAUCGUAAACCCAUUCCAAUAUCAAUUUGCUGAAAGGUUUUGAUGAGCCUCAAAAGAAUCAAAGAAAAUGAAAUUUAGAUAGAAAUUUAAGAUAAAAAACAUUAUUCUCUCAAAACUCAACUUUUAUGAUUUCAUAUUUUUUCCUAAUAAUAAAAUAUUACAAAUGAUCAAAUCUUUUUAUUACGUUUGCUAUAUAAGAAUUAAUUGUUAAUACAUGAAAUUAAAUAACAAUUUAAAAUUUUGAGAAAAAGACAUACAAUGGAUGAUAUUCGUACACCUGACUAGUCAAGUUUGGCACAAUAUACUGGUACAUGUUGAUUGAUUAAUAACAAGAUCUGUAUUAAAUUUGAAUUAAUCCGUCUCAAACUUGAUUAACUGCCCAUGUUGAGAUCCUUAGUUGGCAACAACCAAUUUUUUAGAUGCUAAUAAUUCCACGAGACUUGAAAUUACCUCACAAAAUUGUAAGUAGAAAUUUGUUAGUGAUUUUUCAAAAUUCAUUGUUUUAAAAAUUCAUUCUUAAUCAUACAUUUUUUUUAACAAAAUAAUUUUGUAUGUAAACUCACAAUCUUUCAUAUUUUAAAAUCAUAUAUUCUUUAAAAAAAUUCACUUUUCAUAAAAUUUAUUUUAAAAAUAUCUAAAUUAAACAAAACCUGAAAGAGGAUAAACGCCAAAUUGGUCAAAGCUGAAGGGUAAAAGAGUAAAUGGAGGUUACAAAAGAAAAUGAAGAGGGUGGUUAUAUUACCAACACAAUUUUUUAUCAGUUACAUAAUAUUGUAUUUGCAGUUAAAGUUCCUAAUCUUUGUUCAUUGUAGCAAUUAAAUGCUCAAUUUUCUUUCGUCAAAUUCUUAUCUUCAACUUGUCAUUAAUUAGUAUAUCUUGUCCUUGAUGGUGAUUUAUAUCAAAAUAUUUUGUUCCUAUGAUUUUAAAUAAGGAAACAAAAUUCGUACUAUUUAAUUUAUUUAAUAUUUUAAAAUAUGAUGGAAGAAGAAGUUGUUAAACAUUGUUUUAAAAUAUGAAGCAAUGAAACUCUUAAAUCUUUGUUCCGUGCAGUAAUUAUUUCCAUAAUUUUUUCGUCGAAUUCUUAUCUACAAACUUCCGGUAAUUGGUAUAUCUCAUCCUUGAUGGUGAUUUAUGUCAAAAUAUUUUAUUUUAAAAAUUUAAAAUAAGUGAAAAAUAUGCUGACAUGAACUAUUAUUAAAUACAAAAUACGUUAAGUAAUAAAACAUUUGAGGAUAAGAAUAUCAUGAAAAAUCGACAAGGACAUAACUGUUAUAAUGAGUAAAGAUUGAACCUUAAAUAUAAUUAAAAUAGGGUGCAAGGAAUAAAAUUGUAAUAUGAACAUAAUUAUCCAAAUUGGGAUGACAAAAUAGAUGGUGACAGGGUAGGAAAAAACAACUAAAUGUCCAAUCAAUACAUAUGAAUAGGCGUCCCCAGGGCACAUCUCCAAGUGGUAAAAGAGAAGGGUGGAAAAAUCCAACUUUGCUUGAGAUUGCAGCGUCAAGGGUUCGAAUCCUGAAACAUGGAUUUGGCUCUUGGGUAAGUGCAAGUGUACAAGCAGCCUUCCACCAUUUACCCUUGGAGGCAUAACUGCGAUUUACCUCCCUCACGAUACUCCAGAACAGGGGCGAUGGGGGACCCUUAAGGUUGGGGUUCAACAUUUUUUUUUUUAAUACAUAUGAAUAGGCAACCUUGGAAUUUAGGUAGACCUAUAGAGCCACCACUAUCGGGCCGCUCAUCUCAUUUCUAAAGUUGAUUCCUAAAACUAUUCAAUCCUAUUGAACCUAAGAAAUGUAGCAGUUCAAAUUUUUUUUCUACAGGCCUAACGUGGCAGUACAUAGGAAUGUUGGAUGAUGUUAUAGUCUACUUUGUUUGUAGUUUGAACUCUAUUAAUUAUGAUACAUACAAUUUUAUUUUUUUAAACUCAUUUUUAAUCAAAAUUUUCUAAUUAAAUCACAAAAUUUAAUCACACUCCUUGUCUCAAAACCUCGAGUUUUCAAUUUUGUGACGUGUCUUCAUUUUAAAAGAGAACCAAAAUGAUAUGAAAAAAUGAUUAUCAUCUCCCAUUGUAGUGGUUUUAAUCUUAUCAAAUGCAUUAUUUUAGUUCAAAAGCACCUGUGAAAUAUUUGAGUUGAGCAUUAACUAAACAAUUUAGUGACUACUUUUCAAAUUUAUAAGUGAUUUAAAAAGACUAAUAGUAGGGAAUCCUAAAUCAUAUGUGGAUACCAACCGAGUAAAAAAUUGCGAAUAUCCAUUUGAUCGCAAAAAACAAAUUGUACUUAACUGAAUUUACAUAAAUGCCCCUUAUCAAUUGAUUGCUAAAAACAAAUGGAUUAGAAUCGUACACAUGCACGAUCAGUGAACUAUUUGGAUCAAGGUGGAAUAUCAUCCGUGAACUUCUUGAUGAGGUUCAUGUGGAGGAACAGACACUUGGGUGUAUGGAAUGCUUGGAUAGUCUGCGUUCAAAAAAAUUGACGUAACUUUUGUAUAUGGUGUCCAUUUUGGGCCCAUAAUUCCAUUCCGUUUUGACCGUUUGAAUUCGUUUAUUGGGUCAAAAUGACAUUUAAAGUUUUUUAGUUUAUUAUUUUUAGUAUUUGUUAUUCUCACUUUGUAGCCCAGCUCAUUAAGAAACUAUUAGCCCGAUAGGUUAUCUAUUCUUUUCAUAUUUAAGACUCUUAAACGUCUCCUAGGGUUUUUUGGUCGUUCAUAAAAUAAAAAAAAAAACUUUUGUUUUUUGAGUUCAAUCCAUUUGAGUUGUUAGUAUCUUGUGUUUUAGAUUCGAUCUACAUUAAUUCUUAUCGACUCAAAUGAUUUAAAAAAAAGGGGACUCAAACAACCCCUUAAUCUUUGUUACUUGUAGUAAUUAUUUCCAAAAUUUUUCAUUGAAUUCUUAUCUACAACUUUCCAUUAAUCAGUAUAUCUCAUCCUUGAUGGUGAUUUUUGUGAAAAUAUUGUUUUUCGAAAAAUUGAAAUAAGUGAAAAAUAUUUUUUCAUACUUUUUAUUUUUAUUUUUUAAAUAGAUGGGAAAAUAAGUUGUUAUAUAUUAUGUAAAUGGAUUUUUGGACAUAAAUUAUUCUUAAAUACAAAAUAUGUUAACUAAUAAAAAGUUCGAGGAUAAGAAUAUCAUGAAAAGUCGACAUUGAUAUAAUUGUUAUAAUGAGUAAAGAUUGAACCUCAAAUAUAAUUAAACUAUAGUGCAAGGAACAAAAAUGUGAUGUGAACUAGAGGCGGACCCAGACCUUUAGUAUUGUGGGGGUCAAAAUUUUAAAAAUAAUUUUUUAAAAAAAAAUGACAUAAUAUCAAUGAAAAUAAGUUUAUAUGUAUUUUGACAUUUUGAAAACGUUGUAUAAUUACAUCAUUAUUAAUAUUAUUAAAUAAAUUUUGCUUUUUGUAUCCUCUUGUUUAUCAUUUCAUUGGCAAAUGUUGAGCUAACAUUGAGUAAAUUAAAUUGAAUAUAGAAAUUAAAUAAAUUGAAAUAAAAUUCAACUUUAAUUUAGGAAGUAAAUGAAAUUCAAAUUUAAAGCAAAUAUAAUUCGAAAGUAAUACAAAUUGCAUUUAAUCCAUAAUGACCCUAAAAAAUUUACGUCAUAUUUCACGUAAGACUUCUGAAUGAAACGAUAUAAAUUAUAUUGAAAAAUUUAUCGUGCAAAAAUAAUAAUUAAUUGAAUUUUUUUAAAAGAAAAAACGAGUUAGACGUCUUUUUUGAAACGUACGUUUGAUACAUAUAUUUAACUAUUUUCGAUAUCCAUUUGGACCAUUCGAUAUGAAAACGAUGUAAUUUUCGAAACAAACUUUUACAUGACAGACGAUUUGUGGAUUCAGAUAGCACAUGAUCGCAAAUGAAUUUUUAAAGUUAGGAUAUUAUCGAAAUUUUUAAAAUACUAAUUUCAAACGCCCUACUUUAACAUGUCACAACUUUUUUUAUAGUUGACCACUUCGCAUGACUUUAAUGAGUGAAAAAUUAGACCAUGAGCACUUCGAAAUGGUAUUGAAAAUGUAAUAUUUUGACUUCAUUUGACAUCCCGACGAGUACAUCAAAAUAGAGUGUAAAAAACAAAAAGGGGGAGGGGAAUUUUGUGGGGUCAUUUGACCCCACAUGACCCCAUGUGGGUCCGCCCUUGAUGUGAACGUAAUUAUCUAAACUGAGACGACAAAGUAGAUGGGGAUAGGAGGGAAAAAAACAACAAACAUGUCCAAUCAAUACAUAUGAAUGGGCAACCUCGAAGUUAGGUAGACCUAUUGAGCCACCUCGGUCGAGCCCCUGCGUCUUAUUUCUAAAGUUGAUUCCUCAAAUUCUUCAAUCCUCUAUUUACUCCAAAAUGGUGAAUAGUGGUGGUUUGCAUUAUCGGCUGGCUUGAGCUAUGGAGCUAUUAUAUAAUAGCUGAGUUUGAACCUAAGAAAUGUAGCAGUUCAAAUUUUUAUCAACAGGCCUAACGUGAGAGUAAAAGGUUAAACCCUAAUCUUAAGGGUCUCCCACCACACCUGCCCUGGAGUAUCGUGAGGGAGGUAAAUCGCAGGUUAUGUCUCCAAGGGUAUAGGGUGGAAGGCUGCUUGUACACUUGCACUUACCCAAAAGCCAAAUCCAUAUUUCAGAAUUCGAACCCUUGACACAGCAGCCUCAAGCAAAGUUGGAUUUCUCCACCCUCCCCUUUUACCACUUGGAGAUGUGCCCUGGGAGCGGCCUAACGUGAGAGUAGUACAUAGGAAUGGUGGAUGAAAUUAUUGUCAGAUAUUCUUUUUAAAAUUUGAACUCUAUUAAUUAUGAUACAAUUAGUCAUGUUUGGUUCCAUUCUACAAUUUCAUUUUUUUAAAACUUAUUUUUAAUCACAAUUUUUUAAUCAAAUCAAAAAAUUUUAAUCACGCUCAUUGUCUCAAAACAUCGAGUUUUCAAUUAUGUGGUAUGACGUUAUUUUAAAAGAAAACCAAAAUGAUAUUAAAAAAUGAUUCUCACCACCUUCAGUUGUUGGGUUUUAAUCUUUAUCUAAUGCAUUAUUUUAGUUCAAAAGCACCUGUGAAAUUAUUUGAGUUGAAUAGUAACUAAACAACUUAGCGAUUGUUUUUCAAAUUUAUAAGUGAUCAAUACAGAUUAAUAGUAGAGAAUCCCAAAAAAUAUGUAGAUACUAACAAAGUAGAAAAUUACGAAUAGUUGGUUAAAAUUACAAAUUAUACUUGAUUGAACGUUUUACCAACUGAUUGCUAAAGACAAAUUGUAAACUAUAUUUAUAUAAAUGUCUUAUCAAUUGAUUGCUAAAACCUAACCACGAUUAUUGUACUAUUUGGAUCAACGUGAAAUAUCAUCCAGUAACUUCUUUUCAACUCAAAUAGUUUAAAAAGUGUCACCAAAAUUUUUAAUUGAUAAUCUUUUCAGUGAUGAAUGAAUGUCACUACUAUAUGACCAAAACGAAAGAGCGUUUUAGAACCAAUAAGAAAAAAGGAAAAAAAAAAGUCAGUGUAUCGUGCCUUAAAUAUCCGUCUUAUCUAUCCACUUAAACGCGAACUGCUCCUCAUUCGUGAAUCUAAGCGACGUAUAACAUAACCUUUUAUAUCGCAUAAUAAGAAAUCAUCAAUAGAAUUUUGAUAGGAUUGCCUCAAUAAUAUAAACCAAAUUUUGAUUUAAAAGAACUCCGUUCAAUUGCAAAUGAAAUUGCUCGCUUGAGACCAUAUCUAUGGAUUCCAUUCGGAAAUUGAAAUUAUCACUAAUGACAAUACCCAGAAAACAAUUCUCUAGUUUGAAGUUUCUUCUAUAAAGGCGUCAUUCUAACUAUUUAACUGUAUUUUAAAUGAUGUACACAUGAGUUUUUAUUUAUUUGUAACAAUGAGCAUUAAUAGUCUGCAUUUCGGCUAAAGUAGAAAAAUAUAAUCCAAUGACGCAUCGUCAGACAAGUGUACGUGUCUAUAAAAGAAUCCUAUACAUAUCCAAAAAAAUAAAUAAAAAUAAAUUGGCGCACUAGGAUGAUUGGAAUAUAAUUAUACAAAUCGGGAUGACAAGGAAGAUGGGGACAGGAGAGGAAGAAAACAACAAAUAUGUCCAAUCAAUACCUAACACAAUGCAGACCUGAAUUAAAGUAGACUUAUAAAGCCAUCUCCACCAAGCCGCUGCGUCUCAUUUCUAAAGUUGAUUUCUCAAAUUCUUCAAUCCUAUUUUGCUCCAAAUUGGCGAAUGGUGAUGGUUUGCAUCAUCGGCUCCAAACUGAGUACAAAACGCAAAUUGUAUAGAAUCGUACAUGCAAGAACAGUGGACUAUUUUCAACUUUAAAUAUCAGCCACACAAUUCUUAUCAUCUGAAACCAUUUAAAACACGUGCAAGUAUUUGUGCAUUCUAUAUAUUCUACAUUUCUUGAGAAGUUUCAGUAGCUUGAGUUUGAAGAAGAGAUGCCUAUAGUUGUGAGAAUUCUGUCGUUGGGAUGGGCUAUCAUGAUGAUUAUGAGUAUUGCAAAUGUAGCAGAUGGAGCAAUUCCUAAUGAUUUGCUGGAAAAGAUUUCUAUAAUAAACAAAGAUGGUCCUUACUUGGGUAUUGUAGUGCCCAACAGUUUUGAGAUGAACCCUCUUCUCCAAUCUUCAAGUUUUGUUCCUCAUCCCAUGCUUUCCUACUUGGAUUUUGCAGGUUAGACAACUAUUCACUUGAAAUUUAAUUUAUUGCUUACUUUGAUUUUGUGUAAGAUGAACUAUUCGGUACCGAACGCUAUAAAAAAAUGUUAUAAUCUUGUCAGAAUGUUACAUAUAAAAAGUGUCCUUUUACAUAUUUUUUCAGAAUGAUAUAUGCUGUAGUAUUUCGUUUUACCUAUAUUGAACAUGAAUAUGGCUAGCAGCCUAUUUUCAGGGGCGGAUGGGUUUACAGGAUCAAGUAGAUUUUGGAAAAGAAAAAAAAAUUUGUUUAGCUUUUUUUUUUAGAAAGUACCUUAUAUAUUUUAUUUGUGACCCCUAUUGGGUCCACCCCUGCCUAUGUUUUUAACUGCAUUUAGAGUACUGGAAAUAUGUUUGCGUAUACCUAAACAGAUUAUUGUUUAUGAAUUUCAAGUGAACGUGUAAAACUCCGAAGGGUAUAGAUCAAACUUAGCAUGGCCUUUAUAGUAAUAAAACAUUUGACUCUUUAGGCAUUCCAGUAGAUGCAUCAUUAAGAAAAAAAAUAUGAUAAAUUCCCUUUAUAGUAACUAUACACUCACUGUCAAUGAGAUAAUUGUACUACAUUUUAAUUUUAAUAAGAUAAAUCCACUUUAAUUUAAUUAAAUAUUGAAAACAAUGUUUAGAUACUGUUGUUGUCGAUCUUCUUGUAAUAUGUUUCAUUCUACCAAAUCUUCAAGGAGACAACAAGAAAUAGCAUAAUAUCCAGUUUCAAUAUUCCAAAAUCUUAGGCUUAUUUUCUUCAUCUUUUGCAUCGAAACAGGA